UUUUGCCUCAGUUACGAAUUGGGGAAGAUUAUGAAACGGGGAUCUAAAGGGCGGAAUCCGUUCGUGGGGUGAUGGGAGGAGAAACGGUCGGGAGCGAGAGAAUCGAAGGGGAGAUUAACCUGCGGUGGAGGCGCUCGAGCGAGGAGGAAGAGCUAGGGGGCUCGGGCGCUCGGCAGCGUGAUGAGUGGCGGCGGCGCUCGCGCGAGGAGGAAGAAGAUCCGCGGAGCGAGGAGUAGGGGAGAGAGGAGGGAGACGGAGGAGACGGCGGGUGGGGUGGGGGUGUGUGGUGUGUGGCAACUCCUUUUUCCUUUUUUCCGCUGCUGUGCUGUUUUUUCCGCGUUCGCGAGAUCGGGGAGAAGGUGUACGGCGUUUGGGCUUACUGGCGGAUCUACGUCUGAUUUCUGACUGCGCUUACAUUUUCUCGUGAAUUCCCGUCUGGGGGCCUCUUGGAGAUACGGAGUUCUACCCGAGUUUUUGUUUGGCGGUUAAAACCUAAACCUGUUCAACGACUUUCAACCUCUUUUGACUUUUGAUAAACGGAAAUUCUAAAAUAGGAAAAGAAACUCUUUGCGUGUUCCCCUGUUGUAACGGAUGAGUUCCGCACGUUUUUUCAUUCCUCUGUCCUUUGAAUGAUAUACGAUCAUAUCAUCGCAUUUCCUAAGCUUGGUUCAUGCCUAAAAUAUGUAUACGUAAUAUCCUCGUGCCCGUGUCUGUUACAUCGUCUAAAAAGAUGAUCAAACGGUUGUCUAGUAAACUACACCAUGGUAUCGCUGGUAUUAUUUUUUAGAUGUCAAGUGAAACCUACUCAUAAUAUUAAGAAAUUGCAUAUUUAGGCCUCAAUUUUAGUUUUGUUAAGUUGUACACCUUGGAUCGUGAAGGAGACGCAGGCCAUCCUCCAUGGCACAUCAGCCUACCAGCCUUUUGGAAAGAAACCACUACUUCCUCCAUUACUGCAGCCUACCAGCUUAGGUAAUGCUUCAAUUCACGCCAUAGGAGUUAAUGAGCAUGCUUUGAUUCACACCACUGGAGAGCCUACCAGCCAUGGCUAGUUAGACGGCAGCUUCACCUGCUCCUCCACCCGUUUCCCCAUCCGCCAUGGCUCAUUCCGUGGGAUGCACGAGAGGCUCCCCGUCAGCUUAUAAGGACCGGACGCCAAUACUCCGGGACGAGGGCAACGGGCUUCGAUUGGAGGCUGGGGCGACGGGAAUCUGCGAUUGGAUGAGGAAGGGAGGAAGUUAGGGAAGAAGAUGGGGAUUUGGGAUUGGGUCGGGUCGUUUGGGGGAGACUGGAGGGGAUUAGGUAGUUGUGCUCAACUGAAAUCGAGGCAUAGACACACUACCUUGUAAUUACAUCGCCAAAAUACAAAUGUACACUCUUUUGCGGAAAAGUGGUGGAGCCAAACGUCCACUCUUUCACGAAUAGAGGGAGUAUCUUAUCUUCUCCCACCUCGCUCAUGCUUUUCUCUGACAAACUACCAUGUAAUUACCACAUCAGAUAGUUAAUACUAUAAAGUGUACAAUUUAGAGGGGAGCAGAAGACCGUGUUGUAUUAUACUUGCCAUCAUACUACGAGAAUUUAGCCAUACGCCACUAUGAGGUGUACGAUUUAGAGACAUACGAAAAAUAGGCUUGAGCUGUCUAAAUAUGACAUUACUUUAUGGGUAAAGUGGAGGUAUGCCAUUGUGUUAUGACUUGAGGCAGGAAAAGAUGGCAAGGAUAUAUUCGUCCACAUAUACGUAGUAUUUCCGGUCUGCUCCCUAAACACAAAAGGGUUAUGUAUCUAGAUUUUUCCCUACCGAUUACGGCAAAGCUAAAGAAGUUAAUCAGGUGACCAAGUGGUCAAAUUCUGAUGUCCCUAGCCCCUAGGGGUGCUUCCAGGGUGUUUGUUUUCUCUUCAUUUGUUCCAGAGCAAGUUGAUGCGUGGGACCACUCCCCAUCUUCACACAUCGACCGAACUCACCUUUGACAAAUGCGGCACAGAUUUUUGCUUGAGGUUCUCCAACCUUGAUCCCAUAUGGAAACUUCUACUAGUGGAUCUAGAAUUCUGGAUCCUCCUAAUCUUUCUAUCCAACUAAAAGUGAGAUGCCACUCGAGAUGCCCAGCCAAUUCCAAUUGUUGAAACAUUUAUAUUUGGGGACUAGACUUAAUCUGGCACGCAAGUAAUGCAAUCCAUCGUGGUAUUAUGUCCAUCUUAGCUGAAACUCCGUUUAAACAUGGAGAGAAGAAAGCUUAUGCUAACUGAUCAGCCGAUUUAUCGCACGAGCGGGAUAGCCGGGAGACGCGGAAGAUUCCAAGCAAGUCGCGGGAGAUCUGACGAGGCCAUUUCGUGGGACCCAUCAAACUUGCCCCACUGGCUGGACCUCAUCUUUCCUUCGCUCCCCUUUGCAUUCCUUUAUUGCUAAUGGUUCACAACUACUUGCAAGGCGCGUCUCUUUGUAUCUCGCUCUCCUUUUUUUCACUUAUCCACGAAGGCACCAAGCAUAAGUGGAUUGCCGUGCAAACGUUGGCACACACAUUUUGCGUCUCGGGUUUCAAACUAUCUAUGGAGAAAUGCAUAUUUUUGUCACUCAAUUGGCAACAAAGUCUAAAACAUGAACUAUGAACUCAAAAUUGAAUAUAUUUUUUCUCUCGCUUAGUAAAAUCAGAUAAUUUUGGUUCUCCGUGAGAAAGAAGAAUAACCAGUUUCACCAUAUCUGUAAAGCCGGAGCUAUGCCAAACACGUGUCUACGAUUCUACGUGGAGUUUUAGGUACCGUAAAAAAUAUCUAUUCUAUUAUUACUUGCUUUUGGAGGCAACGGUUAAAAAGAGAGGAGGAAAGAAGAAUAAGUGAGGAGAGAAAUGCUUCCGAUAGAGAAAAAAAGAGAGAGGAAGAUAGCCAAGAUUGUGAGAGAAAAAGAGGAAGAUAGCCAAGAUUGUGUGUGUGUGUGUGGCCAUACGUCGUUUCAUUGGUCAAAUUCGACCGUAGAGAUGGCCGUCCACCGAUGCAUGUUGGUAAUUACGCCGGACAUAGUUGAGAGCAGCAUAUGAAAAAACGCAAGGCCCCCUUGAGGGUCACGUGAGUCGAUCCUAGGUUUUGCUCCUUUCGUUCCAGUACAGUUAAAACGUGUGCACAAGUUGCUACGUCGGGUGAACAUCACGAUCCAACAACAUUCAGAAGUCCGAACGGCCGGGCAAGAAAGAUUCGGUCGGGCAUUUUUUUUUUCAUGGAAAGGACAGUAGAUCAUAGAGUUGCUUGAUCCCUGUAGCUCCUCCCUUUCUCAAAGUUUGUCAACGGCACGUUAGCAGCCACCACCCCAUGUGAACCAGAGAUACCGUAAUGCUGCGCACGAUUGAUCGAAAAACAACGUGACACCUAGCUACGACGUGCAACAGCUCAUAGCAAAACCUCCCGCCCGGCCGAGCAGAGCAGAGCGGGAGCAGCCAGAUUCCAUCACCCGGACACGAUGCACCCAGGCCGGCGGGGCGGCCAACGAGAAGUCGGAACGGAAUUGUGCGGGUCGGAGAGGCGAAAUCCCUUGCGGGAAUCGCAGUGAGGCUCUGUCCUCAGCCCACCGAGAUAGACAGCGAGACGAGCGCCUUACUUCACCGCCAAAAAGCCCAGAACCGACAAGCGCAGCUGCAGCGCCCGCCCGUACCGACGACGCAAACGCCCAACGCGACGCGAACCCGGGGUACGUGGCUCCACGCGUCGCGCGACCCCUCCACGCACGCUUCGAGGUGGCCGACGUCGGGAAUCUUCGACCCUCGCAUAAAACCCAGGUGUACCCCGGAAUCUCCCGCUCCCCACCAACGCAAAAACGUACUACUGAUCCUAUCCAACUAGUGCUACUGUCACGCACGUAUUGACGUGCCCGCCUCAAUCGUGCACCGACCGAACAUGCAGCCCGUUCGUCCCCGCACCGCCGCGCUGCCGCUCCCAUGCGCGCUCGUCGCUAAUGGGCUUCGGACGACGAGCCUUGCUGCUGCCGCCGCCGGGGUUGUGAGUCCCACCACGGCGGCGGCGGUCCUACUCCGCGCGCAGCGUGACGGCAGGGCGGAUCCUCCGGUAGUACUAGUGGCGCGGAGAGACGAUGGAGCAGAGCUUGCCGAGGAGGAGGACAAGGACGGCGAUUUCCUGGCGCCGGAGGAGGAGCUGGAGUUGCUGGAGCACGAGGCGAUGCGCGGGGGCGACGGCGAGGGCCGGAGCCCCACGGACUACGACCGCCGCGCGCACAUCUUCGAAGAGAGCUCCCGGGUGUUCAGGGACCUCAAGCAACGCCGCGACGAUGCCGGUGCCGGUGCGGCGCGCCACGGUUGAUCGAUGGCGUGGGAACAGUGCGCCACCGACACCUAGCUACCUACCGGAGUGACAAGCAAGUCGCGCCUAACUCCUGUCCCGAGUGAAAAGUGCUUUUACUUAGUAUGAUUUGUUUGUGUGUAUGUACCCAAGGAAGGCCAGCACGUGUUUCCCAUGUAUGUAUAUCUAGCUAAGCUAGCCAUGGCUGAUCCUUUUUAAGGUUUCUUUCACGUAAUCUCAUCAGCUGGUAUGAUGAAUGCGACUCUUCCCUGACAAAGACCGACGCGAUCAACUGUAGACAUCCAAGCAGGUGGUGCGAGUUUGCCGCCACACAAGUGCGAUUGGGAUGGCUUGCCGAACUUGCAGCUUUAUCGAUCUGCGUGCGUGUCGCAAAAAUCUUGCCUUCCUUCUGUCAUGAAGAGAAAGCAGUAAGAAACGAAUCGCCGUUUCCUCCGGGAGAGAAAUUUGGCCUUUCGGGACGGACGGCAUUGCUUUCUGAACGAAAAUCUCACAGUAUAUUGCACAAUCACAACGCGCCGACAUGAAGCGAUCGUGCUGUUCGUCUGAAACAUCACGACGAGUGGAGGUCUCUUCUCAACGUUCGAGGAUCCUGUGGCUAGCGGAAGGGGACGCAAACACGAGGUUCUUCCAUGUUAACGCUAGUCACAGGAGGAGGAAAAACCACGUUUCUCAGCUCGCUGAUGACCCCGGUUCGAUAUUCACUGACCAUGAGCCGAAAGCGAACGUGGCAGCUGACUACUUCCGAUCGAUCAUUGGCACUGCCGGAGAACGGCCGUUUUCUCUCAAUCUCGACUUCCUGAACAUCCCCUCUUCGGACUUCUCGAUCACCGAGAACGAGAUCCUUGAAGCUAUUCGUUCUUCUCCGCACGAUAAGAGCCCAGGCCCCGACGGGUUCACGUGCAACUUCUUCGAUUGUUGCUGGGACAUCAUCAAGGACGACCUAAUGGCUUGCUUCGCCCAAUUCCAUGCGCGUCGUUUCAGUGGGCUCGAAACUGUGAAUCAGGCUUUCCUCUGUCUUCUUCCCAAGAAACAAGACGCGGCCCACAUCAAGGAUUACAGGCCCAUUAGACUGAACCACGCGGUGGGCAAAUUCAUCUCCAAAGUGCUUGCUAAUCGUCUGUCCCACAGGCUGCCGGAGAUUGUGGGCCAACAUCAGAGCGCCUUCAUAAAAGGCCGCAAUCUACACGACAACUUCAUGCUCGUCCAAAACUCUGCUCGAUAUCUGCAUCGUGUCAAACGAGCUUCUGUUCUUCCCAAGCUAGAUAUCACGAAGGCAUUCGAUUCGGUGCAAUGGCCGUUUCUUUUUGACGUCCUGCUACACAGAGGCUUCGGUAGUAGAUGGCUUGACAGGAUGGGGGAUCUCUUGGGUACUGCCACUACCAAAAUCCUAAUCAAUGGAGUCCCAGGUGAUCCAAUCCAGCAUCUUGGCGGUCUGAAACAAGGAGACCCCUGUCCCCCGUGCUGUUCGUCAUCGUCAUGGACAUUUUCAACUCCAUGCUCUCUGCCGCUACUGAGGCCGGCCUUCUCUCUGAAUGCGGUUUGCGCCAUCGCUCUUCUUUCUUCGCGGACGACAUCGCGAUUUUUAUCGCGCCUACUUGCUUGCUCGGCUCUUCUUCACGACUUCGGCGAGGAGGCCGGACUUAAGGUCAACCUCCUCAAAUCGUCUGCCCACGCUAUUAGAUCCUCCUCGUCGAAGCCCAUCUCUGCCGGAACGCUGGUUUCCCUUGCUCCUACCUUGGACUGCCUCUCCAUAUCCGCAGGCCCUCGGCUUUACAGCUUAAAGGGAUCGUGGACAAGGUGGGCAACCGUCUGCAGGGCUGGCGCGCCCCGAUGCUCACGAUGGGAGGGCGCCUCAUCUUGAUCAAGUCCACCUUAUGCGCUAUCCCGGUAUAUGCCAUGAUGGCCCUGGACAUCCCAGUCAAGGUUAUUUCUGCCAUCGAGAAGAUCUGUCGAGGCUUUUUGUGGAAAGGCAAGAAGGUGGUUUCUGGAGGACACUGCCUGGUGGCCUGGCGGGAAGUGUGCGCGCCAUACGACUUCGGGGGUCUGGGUAUUCCCAAUCUCAGACUCCUCAACAUCGCGUUACAGGCGAAGUGGUUGUGGCUUCACCGCAGCGAUCACAACCGCCCCUGGAGCGACUUGGUGCCGAAAACUCCCUCCCUCUCGGAGGAAAUUUUCGAGGCGGCCACGUCCGCGGUGGUCGGCAACGGCAAGGACACUUCUUUCUGGACGGAUCCGUGGCUCUCCUCUGCCCGAAUUAAAGAUCUGGCCCCCAAUCUGCUUCCUGCGGUUCGCCGAGCUGAUCUUUCCAUUUCAGUGGCCGACGCUCUUCAAAAUCAUCGAUGGGCGAGCCAGUUGGACCUGGGCGUCGUGGCCCAAUACUGGCAAGAGUUCUUCCAGCUCUGGAACACGGUGAACGGCAUUCAUCGGCACGACGGAGAUGACACAUUUCGAUGGAGAUGGUCCCCCACCGGAACCUUCUCCGCCAAGUCUGCCUACGCGGCCUUCUUUGGAGGUCGGGAACACUGGGCCGGCUCCGACCUUAUUUGGAAAUCCAAAGCGCCUCUCAAAUGCAAGGUGUUCUUAUGGCUGGCUUGCAGGGAAAGAUGCUGGACCGCGGAUCGGCUCCAGUCGCGAGGGAUGGAUCAUCCAGCUGCUUGCCCAUUUUGCGACCAGCAACAGGAAACCAUCAAUCAUUUGAUGAUGGGAUGCCCAUUCGUGAGAGAUAUCUGGCAUUGCUUCUUUCUUUUCUGGGGGAAAGACGAGUGGACUCCCUCUGAGGAUCGCCCCAUCUCCAGUUGGUGGGCCGACAUCAACCUAGCUGGUAAGGAGAAGAAAGACUUGGCCAGGGCGAUCACUUUGAUCUGCUGGGAGACGUGGAAGCAUAGGAACUGCAUCGUGUUUGACAACUCCAGACCAGACCGGGACGGGCUACUCCAGGCUAUUUCUACUGAAUUCAGGAACUGGAGUCUGGCUAAUCUGUUUAGCGGCACUAGCCAAUACGGGGCGAGUCCGAACGCGUUAGAGGGAGGAAUGUGGAGAGAUACGGGAUAAUUGUAAAACGAUUGUAAACCUUUACUGCCUCUAGGCAGCUUCUCCUUUCUAUAAAUGAUGAUACGUCGAGCUAGAAAAAAAAGUAUGGGUGAUACGCAGUAUGGCACGCAGUGCCCAAACACUUCUCUAGUUCUCUUGCUGUCGCAUGGCCGAACCGCGGCCUGUCACAAACAACACGACGAAAACAAACAAGUAGCAAAAGGCAAAUACAGCAAUGCUGGGAAAAAAACAUUACGCACCACAAGCACGGUUCAGCACUAAGCAGCGAAAAUACAGAUGAACUUCGUCACGAAGUAAACCGUAAGAUUGAUUUCGAUGCAAAACAUGAGCUCUGAUGCUCUAUGAUACGUUCCUACUCCACAGCGGUUCUUGUAGUCCACCCCUCGCUUUUCUGGGGAAGUCGGGAUACUCUAAAGCAAUCGAAGCUUGUUUGCAUUACCCCGAACCAUCUUUACCUUCUGUGUAUGAUGUAUAUGUGCCAGACUGCCAGCGCCUUCCAGUCUCCAGACACCAGUUCUGCGUGUAAUCCUAUUCCAGUGGUCGGUUUGGUUUUACGAUGUGCGUCAGUUACUUCAUGACCGGAUCAGUCAGUCUUGCUAAAAGCCUCUUGUGUAAUCAAAAUGAAAAAGAAAAUCCUUGUCAGUGUUGAAGCCAACAAAUCCAAGAAUUAACGAAAGCACAAAUUCGUCCGUCUAUACAAUCACAACUUUGAGUGUUUGAACUCGAAAAGCUAUACACACAUCAAAGAGCACACAGAUUUGACAAACAAGUAACCUCGUGGACAGACGAAUGGCAAAAGAACACAGCAAGCUCACACACCGAUUAGAAUGUUUAACUGCUACUAAAAUACAUGUCACCCUACCUAUCAGCAUCACAAAAAACGUACUCCCUCCGGCCAGAAUUACUUGUCGAAAUAUUACAUGUAUCUAGAUGCUUUUUACACAUAGAUACAUCCGUAUUUGGGCAAAUUUGAGACAAGUAAUACCGGUCGGAGGGAGUACUAAACCUGAGUGUAUGCUUCUUUCCUAACUCGCCAAAAUCCUGGAAAACGAAGUCAAAUUCGCUAUGACCUCAACUUCAGAGAUUCCAGUCCAUGAAUGCCUUUCUUCAGCAUUCCUUGGAAUGGCAAGCCUACACUUCUCUCUUUUGCUUUUGAUCCCUUCAUUGCAGUAUGUUCUGCAGCUGAAUCAUCGUCGGUCACGCAAACGCCUUUCCCCUUCAUGUCAUGUGGUCUCAUGUUAGGCGUUCUUCUGCUGAAACUCUCAUAGAGAUCAGGGGAAUGCCGCAUCAACUCACUCGCUGAAGAGUACCCCAUCAAUCUAUGAAGCUUAGACUCUUUGCCACUUCUUUCAUCCAUGGUGUUGAAAGAUGAGUUUCUUGACACAUGCAAGGGUUGUUCGUCCUCAGUAGAAUAGCUUGCACCAGCUGACUGACCAUAUUCUUCUGAGUAGGAGUAUGGGUCUGCUUGAUGGGCACCAGUGUUGAAGUCAUCAGCUGCCUGGUGGAUUUCGUAAUCAUCUGUGCUGCUGGACUCAUCCCCUCCAAAUGGUGACUGAAGUUUUUUUCUGCUUGGGUCUCUGUAGGAGUAGGAGAGAACCUGUGAGCAGGAGCCACACUGCAGCCUGCGUGUUCCUCUGCUUGGAACGGCAAAACCGGUGGGCAGCUGGACCAGCCUGAGACAGUUCGAGCAAAGGAUGAAUGGUGCGCCCCGUAGGACUGGCCGGCAGAGAUUUCUCGGGGGAGGCCGUCUCUUUAUCUCCUUGACAGGUGGCUUAUGCAGUGCACGUUCUUGUUUCCAGGAGCUGCAACAAGGUGGCCGGUAGCUAUGGCAGCAUUCAUGAGGGCACCGCAUCAUUUCCAUUUGGCCAGUGUGAUUAUAUGAAUAGGCACUGUGCCGACGAUAUCGCGGUAAUGGUUGCUCAUGGUCAUGGGGAGCAACUUGGCCAGACCUACUCAGGCGAGAUGCAUGGCCAGAAUGUUUGGCAGCAGGAUGAUAAGCUGUAAGGGGUAGACUGGAUGUGAUGGCUACAUGGGGCAUGUAGCCAUCUUGUUUCCGAGGAUGUGGAGGGUGUGUCCUUGGCUUGCAAUCUGAAGGUUCAUUGAAAAUUUCACAAAGGUCACCUUUCAGAUCAUCCACUGUCUUCAUUAUCUUUGAUUGGAGGGGUUCACUUGCCCGGAAGCUUUUUGAUUGGAAUGAAGUCCGGGAAGAUUGGAAAUCAAGUGAGUCAACUGAUACUCUAUCUCGGAGAUCACAAGACCGAGAUUGCACCCUUACAAGCUUAGUUCUCUUGUUUGUCACGGGUUCAGUUUGGCAUGCUCCAUUCUCAGGUUCUGGCAAGUUUAUAACUAAUUUUCGAUCCUCGGAUAACGGUUUGUUGUGCUCAGAGGUAUUCAGGCUGCACUCCAUAUGGCUGACUUCGAUUACUCUGCAAGCCUCUGGAUUAUCUGCACUUUUUUUUGAAGGAGGAUUCUCUGCACUUCGCUCCACAGUGUUGCUCUCCUCUUCAUCAGAAUCUGUAUGUGUGUCAUUCCCAUUCGGGUGUGUCUGGAGAGCAGGAACUUCCGUUUCUUCAUUGGUGUCCCUGCCAUCAGAUUUACGGUCUUCCUUGUUCUCAGUAUUUGUAACCUCCAUGGCAUUCUUCUCAUCUGACAUAACACCACCACUCUCAUUGCUUGCCUUGACAUUGCUCUCGCACUCGGUCUCGUUGCUUGGAGCAUCAGGAGUACAGGAAUCAUCUACGUCAGCAACAAUGGAACCCAGAUCUUUGUUUUCGGGCGACACACCAUUGCUCACAGAGGUAACAACAGAGUAAUUGUCAGAGUCUUGCCGGACUUGUUUUUUGGCCACAUUUUGUGCAUUGCUGACACUGACUUUAGCUGCACAAACACAGGUGCGCAAAAAAAGUUCAAUUCCUCAUAAACUUAUAAGAAAAUUCAUCAGGAAUGAAAACUACCCAGCUAUUAAAUUUCAUCAGCCGGUGUAUCCUCGAAAUUUUACCUCUAAGAGUGGUGUUACAUCCACCACACUGGUAGACAGAAACAUUGGCAGGUUCUGGUAGAAUAUUAAGACACUUUGGGCACCUCACGAGGCGAAAUCCUCCGGUGUUUGCACUUGCCAUCAAACAAGAAAGGCCAAGGACAUCACCCAAAGCAAAAGGAACACCUGGCUGUAGAUACCAGUUACCACAAAACUACAAUGCUUUUAAAGUUCUUCUAUGCUCUAAUACCUGAAUCCUGCAUCUGCAAACGUUCAAGAAGAUAAUCAUCAGUCUCACUAGCAUAAUAGCAACUCUUGGUUGGAUUAAUAGCAUUAAAAUGUGUUCGUAAAAGGCGUCCAUUGAGCAUGCAUAACAUGUAUAUCUAGAAGCUCAAAUGGGAACAAAUAUAAAGCCCAAGGUACUGUAAGCCUGUAACAAUUCUUGCGCCACAUGCGAAUGAUAUAGCUCCCAAACAAGACAGAAUAAAAUAUAAGGAAAAAAUUGGCACAUCCGUGGCAGUUUUACCUUUGCACUUGAAAGAUUGAAAUCAGUAGGCAAUUAGGCACAUUUGGCCUAUCAGCUAAAUAAGGAGCAGUUUGCUGAGAAUCUUUUGAAAUUGGAAAAAAAAACUAAAGCUAUUUUAAUACUUUUAUUACUCCCUCCGUUCCUAAAUAUUUGUCGCUAUUGCACUAAAACAGCGACAAGUAUUUAGUAACGGAGGGAGCAGACUACAAAAGGUACUGAUUGUUUGUACCCCUUUGUCCUGUUGUCUAUGAGAUCAUGGGAGAACCCAGUUCUUUCAAAACUCUUAAUCUGGCAAUCUGCAGUAGCAAAUCUACUUGAAUGGUCCCUGAGAAUAAUCUACUUGAACUAAUGUUCUCAUGACGAUGACUGCUGAUUGGUAACACAGAACAAUUAUUACUAGUAUAGCACAAAAUAGAACUCCAAUUAGGAUCUCCCAUAAACAACACAGAAGAUUCUUAUACGUAUGUCAUAGAGCUGCAACCUACAACGCAAAAACGACAACGGAAGCGACUCGUGACAUACCGAGCACCAUGAACACCUCAAGGCCCACGCUCGUAGCCUUAGAAAGUCAUGAAGCCGCCUUGGUAUAGAGAGAGGGCGAGGAGAGGAGGAGAAGGAGGGAAAGAUCGGAUAAGAAACUCCACUCCCAUGGACAGAUUGAUAACCACCGAUCCACGAGGAAAUAACCCAGAAGACUGAAGGAAGAAGGGAAAUGAGCAGAAGAGGAAGCAGCCAAGAAAACUCACCUUUCCCGUUCCUCCUCGUUCUUUCCACCACUCCUUCUUCCCAGCCGCAACGGAUCAUGCAGGCUCGGAGACUUGUGCAACCCGUCGUCGUCUUCUCUCUCCCUGUUUCUUUCCCGGAACUCCAACUCCAGUUCUCGGGAUUCCAGCACGCGUUCACCGCUAGACUUCUAGUCAGGUCAGCCGGAACUAUGGAGUACUCCGUUGUAUAAAUAAAAACGGAGGCUUCCCUUCUUCGCGCACAGGGAGGAAGAGGACUGGAGAGGGGGUUGACUGGUAGGAUGCUUUAAUGCUCCCCUAAUCUCUGGUCUGAAGUCUGAACGGAGCUGCGCACCGCGGGGAGACUUUCGUAACGCGCGCGUAGCAGCAGCAGCAGAGAGCGAUAGCGAGGGAGAGGGAGAGAAAGGAAGGAAGAGAGUCAGUGGUCAAACAUGUGCACGGUAUAAUAACGGGAGGAACGGAACGGAACGGAAUGACCCGGGAGGCUGACCGGCUGGAGGGAUGUGUGUGUUGACUCCCGCGGCUUUGGCUGCUCGUUAUCGCUAGCGCGCCGUGGUGGUGGGUAGGCGCCCGGGUUUCUCCGGUGGACUGCGUCGCCGCUCCUUGCCGCCACGUUGGGCUCUCAACUUGUGGUUCCGGAUGCUGCCGUGCCGGGACGCCGUGUGGGGGCCGCCCGCCCUUAUCCACGCGUGCUGUCUCCGCGGUUCCCGCCAGCCUGCUGAUAGCUGUAGGCGCUGCUUCUUUUCUCGGUUUAUCUCCGUUACGUUUUUCAUGUAAUUGUCUGUUUUUCUUUUGGAGAACGGAAAAGGAGCAUAGCCUCUCAAUCUCAUUCCAGAGAUGAAAUCAGAAAGAUUGUUUCUGUGAAAAAACGAUAGGAGUGCCCUAGCCGCCACCCGGCCAGCGCGGCCGGCCCAGAAUCCUGAUUGACUUCGUCUCCUGGCCGCUUCCUCUACGUUUUGAUGUUAUAGGAGCUCUUCAAAAUUAGGGUUUUGUCAACCGACAGCCGAGCUAUGAUGGUGAUGGCGUCACUGUGCGGGUUAAAAAUAAGGUUUUCUCGACUCCUCAUCUACCUCGUCGACGAUGUUCCUGCCGCUGGCGUUGAGGAGUGCGGGACGGUUGGUCGCUACUCUUCCGGAGUGGUGUAUCUGGUUAUGUGAUCGUGCCUUGCAGGUCGUCUAUGCGUUUCGAUUUAUUGGUUCCUUUUCCGAUCGAUGAGACUUUGCCAACUUUGAUCUCAUCGUGGAGUUAGUGCGACCAGGUCUUCUCGGAUCCGUCUGGCCGAAUUUGGGAUGGUCAUCCAACCCUCAUCGUCAUUUUCUUCUUCAGGACGGUGGUCUGUUUCUCAGUUCACUGUCGUCAGCGUCUUCUGGCUCCGACCGGUGACUUCCCGGCUGCUACGUCAACAAUGGUUUCCUGGCUCCGACGUGGUUCGGAGGUCGAGGAGCAGCAUCUAGCUUCGCUCACGACGCGCCACCGGCGAGUGCAGGAGGAAGGCAAUGAUGUUUACUUACAAGAACUUGCGUGUAAUUUUCUUUUACUUUAGAGAUGGUUCUGUAAGAGUUGGUUGAUUUUAAUAUAUGACCUUGACAUUCUCGAAGAAAAAAGAUGAAAUAUCUCGAACACACCGCUCGCCCUUAAGAAGAAGGCGCAAGAAGCGCAAGUACAAAAAGGCCCAAAGGCUCAAAAAAGAGAAAAAACGCAAAAGGCAAAACAAAACAAAAGGAAGAAAAAGGAUACAAGGGUGGUGAAAGGGCUAGGAUCUGGAGGACGCGCGUGGAGGGGGAGGCGGUCAAGAGCUCGCGCACCAGCGGCCCGCCACAAGUCCGCCUCCACAAAGAUGUCCUCGACGAGCCGAGCGACAACCGGGGUGGCUCCCUCGAAAAUGCAAGCAUUCCGAAGUUUCCAAAUCCUCCAAAGAGUGAGAUUAAGGAGCGACCGAGUAACUUUCACCUUUCCCUGCAGUCUACGAGCCCCUGCCGAGAGCCAAGCUACCAAGUCCUCAGAGGGGCGAGGGAGACAGCAAAGUGCUCCAACCCUCGCCAGCACCUCAUGAAGGACCGCCUUUGUGAAGGCACAGCCCAUGAGAAGGUGGGCCAUGGUAUUUCGGUUCCUGAUCACACAAAGGGCAGCAGGCAUUGAAAGGGAGGUUAUGGCAUUCCAGGUGAUUGGCAGUCCAGCAACGGUUAGUGCAGGCAAGCCAAACCCAGAUUCGGCACUUUAACGGAGUCCAACAACGCCAAAUCUGCGACCAAGGUGGAUAAGUCGGGCGAUCCUCAAAGAAGUGAAGGAACGCGGACUGAGCGGAGUAGACCCCAGAGGCCGACCACUUCCAGCGAAGAACGUCCUCUCGACCUGGGAAGAGGACCACGGCUGCCAAGAGGUCGGCGAGCUGGAGAAACUCUAUCAUGCCCUGGGCAUUGAGAGGAUCGGAGAUGUCCUGAAUCCACGCGCUCUCCCCGAGGCCAUCCGUCAGAGCGUGUGCGGGUGACCCUCCGACCAACAACAGAGAAGACAACCGGGGUGAGAAACUCAAUUGAUUUCCCAUCAAUCCGUUAUCUGUCCAGAAAAGAGUGGAACGACCAUUUCCCACAACCGAGCUACAAGCCUCGUGGAAGAGGGCAAGUACCUGUGGGCUGAAACGGAUGCGGAAGGAAGCCUAGGGCUUCCCGACCUCGGUGCGCUGCAACCAGGGCCAGCGGAGCUGAAGGGCAGUGCUAACCAAGUUGGCAUCUCGCACACCAAGGCCUCCAAGAUGGGUCGGGAGACAAGCCUUGGCCCAAGCAACCGCGCAAUGACCUCGUUGAGAAUCAGUCCGACCUUUCCAAAAGAAACACCGCUGCUUCUUAUUGAUGGCAUCGCCAAACCACUUGGGUGUGUCAAUGGCCAAAAGGGUGUGAACCGGUAUAGCCGAGAGGACCGACUUCACAAGGACAAGCCGACCACCCCUCGACAACAUACCGGCACGCCAACCCGCCAGCUUGCGAUCCAUCUUGUCAAGAACGGGCUGCAAAUCUUGACGACGGAGCUUGGAGAUGGAGAGAGGAGCUCCCAAAUAGAGGAUGGGGAACUCCUGAACCGGGCAAGCUAGGUAGUGGCACACGACCUGGAUCUCCUCGGGAGAACAACGAAUGGGAGUGGCUGAACUCUUGAGAAUGUUCGAGCGAAGCCCGGAGGCCUCCCCGAAGAUCUCAAGGAGGUCUAACAGGAUGGUACAAUCCUCCACCGUGGGCUUGACGAAUACAACCACAUCAUCGGCAUAGAAAGAAGCUUGACAUCCCGAGGGUACACCCUGAAAUGGGGAGAGAAGACGCUCGCGAGAGGCCGCAAGGAGGAGGCUAUUGAAAGCGUCCAUCACAAUGACAAAGAGCAUUGGAGAUAGGGGAUCCCCCUGUCGUAGGCCACGACGAUGGACCACCUCCCGGCUAAGACGACCAUUAAUGAUAAUCUGAGUGCUAGAGGUUGAAAGCAGCAAGCAGAUGAUAUCACACCAAGCAUGACCAAAGCCAAGGUGUCGGAGAAGAUCCAACAGGAAGGCCCAAGAGACGGAGUCGAAAGCCCAGGCAAUAUCCAGCUUAAAGAGCACCGUGGGCUGUCUGGAGAUGUGCAGCGACUUAGCCAUUUGCUUCACAAUCAUGAAGUUGUCGUGAAUGGCCAGACCACGAAUGAACGCGCAUUGGUUCGAGGAUACCAAAGAUGGAAGAAAAGGCGCAAGCCAGAGAGACAACACCUUCGCAACCAACUUGGCGAUUCCAUGAACCAAGCUAUUGGGUAUGAGAGGGAGGAGUGCGUGGCUUAGGUUGUGAAAACCCGCCCGCUCGCCCCGAUGGAGCCAGCGGAAGAGCUCGACCACAUCGUCCUUAAUAAUGGGCCAACAAGAGGAGAAGAAAAGACCGGUGAAGCCAUCGGGACCAGGGGCACGGUCGUGAGGCAUAGCCCGGAUGGCAGCCCAAAUCUCGUCCUCCAUGAAAGGCUCCUCCAAGGCACACAGGUCCAUGUGCGGCACUUGAAGGAACUCAAAAUUCAGGGUAUGCGACCUCAUAGCAGGGAAUCAAAAACCUCCUCGAAGAAGGAGGUGAUCGCCUCCUCAAUGCGAUCCUAGUCCACCAGAUCUUGCCCGCCACGAUGGAGCUGCGCAAUAAAGUUCCCCCUUCGGCGAGCGCCCGCAUGGAAGUGAAAAUAGCUAGUAUUAGCAUCACCAUCACGUAACCAAGUGAUCCGAGCUCUGUGGCGGGCAAUAGUACGCUGCAGCAAACACAAGGCUAAGUACUUGAGCUUCAAGCUCCUGCGAAGCCAAGAUUCCAACGGGGAGAGGGAGCGGCGCUCCUGAGCAACCUCAAGACGGAAAAUAAGUUCCACCGCGCAGUCAAUUUGGAGGCGGAUGGCGCCAACGUGCUCGGCACUCCAAGACUGCAGGUCCGACAGACAUUAGGGAGCUUGGCAUCCAGGGCGAAAGCAGGAGAUGAACUCGGAGUGGGGAUAGCCCACGCAGCAGCCACGACCUCGUGAAAGUCAUCCAACUUUGGCCAGAAAAAAAAAGAUGAAAUCAGAGAGCUACAGAUCCACGAAACAGAGACAAGCCAGACACAUACCUGAAGGACAGGCAAACACAUACUGUAUUUUACGCUUCCUCGGCAUGUUCUCUCAACACAAAAUGACACUAUCUGGAUGUAGGUUUGAGAAAAGAAAAGGUGUUUCUGGGGCUAUAGAAAGCAAGGUUAUAAAAGCUCCGUCCACCCUUUGGUCCCAGGUUUCAAAUGGCAUGUAACGCGGAGACAGAAGUAUUGCCAAGAAAAGAAAAAACACGGAGAUAGGAGAGAGAAUUAUUACUACGGUACUGCAUUUUAUUUUUCAUUUCUGUUGGGUGUGUGAUGCCGAAGAACGGGCGCUGCCAUUUCAGUGGACGGUUUAGUGCUAGCAUAGACUGCAUCGUGGAAAAGUACAUGACAGUAGUCAUGUGGCUCUGUGACUCGUGACUGAUCAUAUGGUUGGGAAAUCAGGAGGCCGGCGAGAAAUCAGGAGGUAGGUGAGCUCAUGUGAUAUGGAGCGGCUACUUCUAGAAUCGAGCCUCCACGUACCUUUGUCCGUUUGUCAUCCAUGGUCCUCUGCUCCUUGGUCGUUAGUAACAGCAGGUCCUGCAGAAGUCAAAACAUAGGCGACUUCACGGCGGAUUAAGAAGCGAAAGCAAGAAGAAACGAAACCACACGGCUUAUUGGUUUAGCCAUGAACAGCUGCAUCAGGAGUUCCUGUACCUUUAAAAAAAAAAACAGAGAGUUCCUGUACCUCAAUGCGCACCGGCACGUGAGUAAUUCCAUGGAUCAGCGAUAACCGUCUGGAUUCAGAUAACGAACGGGUCGAGGUAGAAUAGCAUAGCAUCCGUAGCAGCACUGUUGAGCGGUGACGAGUGAUCUUUGAUGGACACCGUCGGGUUGCGCCGUGUAAAAUGUCGGGGAUCAUUAAAUAUGGCUGGCAGAAACUGGUGCCGAUAAAUGUGUCAAAGCUGUCAUGCAAUGCAUCGAUCCAGUCCGCAGAUUGAAACAAAGAAGUACUUGCUCGUGGGGACGACGCUGAUAAGAAGAGACGUCCCGGUUUGUCGCCGGAGGGAUAAAAUAAAAUACAGGGUCCCAGGGUUGAGGCCAGCCAUCACUCCACAACACGCCACGCGCGAGUCGGUCAACCACAUCAGAUCAGCCAGCGUCCGGGUCUCGCAGGGGCCUUUGCUUCACUAGUUAAGAGGCACAGCAACAGAAAAGAACACAUCAGUGGGUAAGUAGUCAGAACCUCCCUUUCAUAAACCAAACAGUUUUUCUUUUGGAAAAAUUAUAAGCAGGAAUCUUGACCUUCUGGCCAGAGAUAUACUAAUAUGUACGACUAUAAUUGUCGUCCAGUCUCCAGUGGUAGCACAUCACUAGAUGAUUAGCCGCAUGUACACUUCAGUGUCAGGCGAAGUCAAAAAAGGCUUCAUCAUUACAUGAGAAAUGAAUUCAACAGGGCCCUGACACUCCCCACAAAUGAAUUAUUUGGUGCCAGAACGAGGGCGUCCGAGGUCGGCAGACAUACUCGCUUUUCACUAACCCACCAAGCCAAAGCACGCCAAAGAUGGCCAAUUAUUUCCUUUCCGUCUCGUGAUCCUCCAAUAUGUACAACCGUGGCAUAUCCUAUUGCGGGGGCAUAGAAAGCACUAACUUGAACAGCGGGGCAGAUUUUCUUUCUGAGGCAGCCAAUGUUGCUAGUGUUUUGUCGUGUCAAUAUUCCAUUGGCAGCUCCCACUCAUCCUCUGCAUCCCUCGUUUUCCUAUGGAGUUCUCUGUCCAUGGACUUGCCCUGACUGUUUUGUCUCUUAACAGUCCUAGCUCUUCGCCUUCCGUAUCUCGAGUACUGACCUGUCUGAUCUCCAGGACGUUGGAUAUUUUGAGUGCCCCAGAUGCCCUGACAUUCAGUUAAAGAGUAUCCUCACUCAACAAGGUUGCUGCUUCCAUUAUGACAUCAUCUCCAGGUGUAUUUUAAGCAGAAUCAUUGUAUCAAAAAUAAUAAUCAGCAACGCAGACCUGUGUUACCCGUUGAACUCGAGAUACUGCAUCUUCAUGCACAACAAUUGUAUCGGAAACUAUAUCAAGCACAUCUUCAACAAAUAAACAGUAUGUGCUUACCUGUAAUGGAAGUAAGAGGUAUACUGAGAUAGAAGCAGAGAAUUUAGAAAGCUUAUAUGUAAGAUGACAAGUAGGAGCAGUCAAAUUACCAGACUAGCAGGGACAAUAGUAAGACCAAAUGAGUCAAGCUCAAGAGACUCCAUAGCACCUGAGUUGACGUCAAAGGUGAAGCCACGGACCUAAAUGAUUUAAAAGGUAGCCUAAAAACAUCAAAAUUAAGUAAACUCUUCAAAUGCAAAUGAGAAAUGAAAUUCAUGCAGAUAACCUCUCUUGAAGACCAGAUAGACUCACCUUACCGACAUUGCGCCCCCUGGAAGUUAUAACAUUGUAGCCAACCUAAAUAUUGAUGUUGCAGAACUGUAAAUAACGAAGAAUAUAAGUACUUCACGGUUCUGAUCUUUCCUACUUACAAACCACACAUCCUCGCUAUUAUGUGGUCAUUAUAUAGAAGUUGUGAUUGUUUGUUGCAUAUAAUUGAUGAUAGAUCCCAAACAAAUGCACUUUGGCAUGUUGCAUUCUCACUAUUUUCUUUGCAGUUCUGUAGCAUCGCACGGGCCCUACACUAGUAUUGUCAAGAACUUGAGAUCAAUGAACUAUUCUUUGGAGAGAAGGCUGCAUUACGAGGGGUUCCAACAAAUAAGGAGAAGAAUAUUCCCUUUCUAUAAGGCUGCAUAAAGUUUAUCUCAUAGCGUGACAUCAAUACAGAUUACUUUGGCCAUGGGGACAAAGCAUAUGUAUUUGUCUAAAAUAACUAUCAUACCCUUGUUUUGCUCCUAGGCACCCUAACUAUUCUCUCAAAUCCCAUGUUCACUCUCCAAUGAGAAAUUAUUGGGAAAUAGAUCCACAUAUUUUUCGAGAAAACGCAAAGCUUGCGUCUCGACGCAUUGAUAGAAAGAAAGUAUUUACAAGCCCAAGAACAGGCCAACACAACCAAUCACUCAAAACAAGAACACGACCAACGACCGCUAAAUUAUCAUUACAACCACGCCACCAAACAACCGCAGGCCUAAAUGCCAAAAACACAAAAGAACAGGAUAGCGAAGGCGCCGCGGCCCGCCGGCCUCACAGAACUCGAAGACAAGCCCGUGAGGCGUCUCGUCAACUGCAGAAGCCUCGGGUCGCCGAUCGUCGCGCUCGUCCCGAACAAUGCGCCGUCAUAUCUCACCGCUCCCCUGUUGGUCAUAACAAACGUCAGGCUUCGUCGGUCGAUACCCGUCGAGUGCACCCAUGCGACCAAGAUGUCGCAGCACAGGAUCCUCCGCUAACCACUAACCGUGCCGUCCAAGGUAGUGCACUUGCCCGAUGCCAGUGUACCCAAGGCCUGCUAGCUAGAGCCAAGGCAUAUUCCGUGGGAACAUACUCCAGCCAAGUGUUAUCCUCCAAGAACAACACCUCCAACAAGGGAGCGACGUCAACAACUCCGCCGUCAUCCGAUUUGGCUAGCCAAAUCUAGGUUUUCACCCGAAGGAUUGGACCACAUGGGAUGGAGGUUGGUCGAGGCUCCUCGACGAUGCCACCAAGGAGGGAACGACGCCCGAGAGCGUCGCCGUCGUCGGCACCAAAGAAGGUCAGGCUAGGCUUUCGCCCGGAGCACCACGACAAAACAAAAGUACCCGCGGCAACCCGCACCACAGCAAAGUCUAAGCAGCGCCGACAACCGCACAAGUGCAAGAACCUGGAUGGCCCACCGUCCAACCAUCAAAGGUCACCACACGCCGCACAACAUGGCGCACGCACCGGCCACAAUCCCAACUCCGGAAGGAGUUGGCACAUGGCCCAAAUGGCCUGUGCACUGGCCAACCCAGACCCGCGGCAGGAACGCCCAGAUUUGCAGUUACCAGUGCACACGACAACACCCCAAGCUAGAGCUCGGCGAAGUGCCAGCUGCAAGGCACGGGGUGCCGUCGGAUGGGCGUAGAGGCGCGCACCGCACAACCUGCAGCGCGACGCCGGCGACCACAUCAGGCCACACACCAACACCCGUCUCCCUCCAGGCACCGGCCAACCACGUGUGGCCAGCCAAGCCGGCCAACGCGCACCAAGCAUGCCUCCUGAGCCAUCUCCCGAGACCCCCCGCAACCUCCAACCAGACCCUUGAAAGCACGGCCUGCCGCCCAGCAACAGCAGCGACACACGUCGGAGCACCCUGGCGAUGCUGGGCACACUGUCCAACCGACAACGCAGCACCAGCAGCAGCGGCGCUCACAGGACCGAGAAAACGAACCUGGAGUCGUGCCCGCGCCGCCACUAGUCGGAGCCCUCCCGCUGGAGUCGCGGCCGCACCGCCCCUGCCUGAAUCAGGCUGCCGCGCAAGGACCUCGUGCCAGCACCUCCGCGAGCCGGACCCAGACCGCCACGCAUCUGGCCCUCGUGCCCGCGCCGCCACUGGUUAGAGUCCUCCCGCCGGAGUCGUGGCUGCGCCGCCGCAGACCGGGCCACCACCGCCAGAAUCAAGCCGCCGCGCGAGGACCGCGUGCUAGCACCCGCGAGCCGGACCCAGGCCGCCGCGUAUCUGGCCCCCGUCGCCGGAAACAUGCCACCGCGAGUGCGAGAGAGAGAGAGAGAGGGGAGGGAAGAGGGGUGAGAGGAGGAGAUGGGAUGGCAGCGGCUGGAAGGCCCUGCCGCCGCCGCGGGCCGGCCGGCGGCCGCCGACGGCAGCGGUAGGGAGAGGGAUGGGCGGAGGAUGGGGGUGGCGGCGGGGUAUCGCCCCGUGAGUCGCAGGAGCGGCUCGCGGGGCGCUAGGGUUUCUUUGACCGGGUAGUCAAUAGAUCCACAUAUCCAUGAGAGCAAUGGUCAUGGGGGCAUAAUGGAAAGAAUGGAGGGAAGAAUGCCUAGAAAUAUCAGGAACAGUAUUUGAAAAGUUGGACAGAGUCUUAGUAAGCACUCAAUGGGAGGCCCUUUAUCCUGAAUUCUAUAUUAAAACUUUGCCUAUGGUGAUUUGUAAUCAUGCUGCGUUAGCAAUGGACUUAGGAUGAUCAAACAAAAAAUUGGCAGAUUGUUUAGGUUUGAGUUGUCUGGUUUUUUAGGGAGGAUCUGGCUCAGGUUGCGGAGAAGAUCUGGAAGGAACAGUAUUGUGGUAGACCUUUUCUGUAUAGGUGGCAGAAUAGGAGUACAAAUUUUGGGAUACCAUUAAAAGGUUGAAACUGUAACUAUGAGGGUUGGUACAAGGGUUAACCAUAGAAGAAGCAGAAAAAAAAAAAGAAAAAAGGUUUUAAUGGAAAGCGUAGACAAAAUAGAUAAGGAAAGUGAGGUGUUGGGCCUCACUGCUGAGAACUAUAGGCUGUAAAGGAUUUAGAUGCCCAACUUAAUAAGAUUACUAGGGAGGAUGAAAUCGAGUGGUUACAGAGAUAUAAAUUGAAAGACCUGUUGGAAGGGGAUUUCCUUAACCUCCUACUCCGUACUUCAAAGCCAAGCUAGUGGCACGAAGAGGAGGAAUAUGAUCGUUUCCCUGAAGCAGGAAAAGGAUUAAUUCAAGGGGAUAGAGAUAUACUGCUUUAUGCUAAUGGGUUCUAUACAAAACUCUUUGGUCCUGCUGCUUCUGAUGCUAAUGUUAGUUUGGAAGAACCUGUAGAGUGUGUCCUAGACGAUGUGGGUAAGAGUUUAUUAGAUAGAAUGUACAAUGUUUUCCAGAUGGAACACAAUAAAACUACUAGACCUCAUGGGUUUCCCAUUGAGCUCUAUCAAAGGUUUUGCUAUCUGAUUUGUAAUGAACUCAUGUUUCUCUAUGAACUAGCGGGAUGACCGACGCAUUUGCGCGGCUAGACUUAUUUCUCUGCUGGUUAAUUAUUUGAUAUCAUGGUUAAUCAUUGUUUGGUUUCUUACGUCUCAACCAACUGAGCUUUUACUUUUGGUUUUAUCUGGAUUUUUUUUUUGACAAUUCGGUAAAUAUCUGACUCCUCAUUUAUUGACUUAGAUUUUUAUUACAAUUAUCAAUCGAUUGCUACCUAGCCAGGAGUAUCUUUUCUUCAUCUAACUUCCAGUCGAGAACUAACAUACUUGAUUGGCUCUAAUCUGCUUCCAAAAACAUCUCUCUUAUUGUUGGAACCUUUUGAACUUAAUUAAAACGUACUGCAUCUCUCCAAGUAAACAUUUUUUUGCCCUUCAAGUGCCGUGAGCAUGCAUUAUUAUAACUGUGCUUAGUCGUUGCUUAAUUCCGCUUGUGUGAGCUUGCAUGGUUGGAAACGUUGUUGUAAUAUUCAUGAUUAAUUGGAAACCAUGUUGUACUUGUUGUCUAACUGUGCUCGUGUAUCAGGGCCGGAAGACGUUGAAGUAUUGCUGUAUGUAAUGUACUCCCUCCGUCCCAUAUUAAGUGACUCAAUUUUGUCUAAAUAUGGACGUAUCUAUAUACUAAAAUACGUCUAGAUACAUGUAAUAGAAAGUCACUUAAUAUGAGACGGAGGAAGUACUAAAUAUUGUUUCUUUAUACUCCUAUUCAUCUUUAAAUCGUAGAUGUUAUAACCAGGACCCACAACAGAAUCAAUGGAGGAGAUUAUUUAGCCUAUGUGGACGAACGUGGUGGCUUGGCUUCUUGUCCUCUUGUUUUAAUUAUAUGAUACUCCCUCCGAUCCUAAAUUGUUGUCAUGGUUUUAGUUCAAAUUUGAACUAGAACCACGGCAAGAAUUUAGUAUCAGAGGAAUAGAUUUUACCAUGGGAAACUUGAUCUGUCUAGACUAAACUAUGGCAUUCGCAGCUUGAUUGCUAAGUCACAGGGUGAUGAGAAUCCAGUUAUGCAGACUCAUUUGUUUAUAGAAUGUCCUGUUUAAAAUCUUUCACAAAAGUUAUGAACAAUAUAGCCAUUUUGGUAGCUGAUAAGGUUGUAUCACUUGUACAGACUGCUUUCGCAAGAGGGAGAUACAUAUUAGAUGGUGUAGUGCUUUUACAUGAAACCUUGCAUGAGAUUAAUAGAUCUAAGUAGAGCGAGUUCUCAAAAAAGCUUAUGACAAGGUUAACUGGAGUUCUAUUCAAGAUGUUUUAGUUAUGAUGAAGGGCUUCCCUGAUAGGCUUUUAGAACGAGUUAUGAAAUCUGUGACCGGGACAUGUUGGUGUCAUGAUGAAUGACCAGUUCGGACCGUACUUUAAAAUGAAAAAGGGUUUGAGACUUACAAAGUGACGUAUGUUUUUGUGCAGAGGGAUUUUAUACUGAUGUCUUAGUUUAAAAUACAUACAAUAAAAUCAGAAACAUGAACCGUUGUUCGAAUUUAGAAAGGUAGGUAGCAUACCAAGCUGUGUAGUCCAACUAGCUUAACUUCGUUCUCAAACACAGAUUCAUCUUCAACAAGCACAACAUCUCCUACCUACAAAAGAAAAUAGUAUGAGUACCUUACAUAUCAUUCAAACCGAAGUUUUUGCUUUACUUUUGAUAAUAAUAUAAAAUUUGUAGUGUCAAGGUGGAUAACAAGAAUUAAAACGUACAAUAAAAAAGAAAAUAAGGUUUUUGAGUCCUACCUGAUAAAUAUCCUCAAAAAGGAAAUUCUCAGCUUCUCCUGAAAGCAAGCUUGGCCUCACUUCAACCAACGAAACUACCCACUGGAGAAAAAUGAAAAAAACAAAAUCAAGAAAAGGUGGUGUUAGUCUUAAAAAUCAAUUGUUAACAAGGAAUAAUGUCUGACUCGGAAUAAAAGCCUGUUCAACUGUGACAAUUGACUACAGUAUUUCUGCUACUAGGAAAAUGUUUUCUUCAGACAUGCUAAUCCUAAGAACUAUCUCAAAAACAAAAAAAGGUAAGGUCCAUUCCAAAAGAAAAGGAAGAAGAGGAAGGUGGAGUGGAGCCUAUGAGUCUAUGACAGUAAACUAGAUUCUAUACAAGACUUAAUCAGUUAAUCUAUGAUUGUAAACUGGGAUAAAGACCCAUAAUGCCAGGGAUGUCUUCAUUGCAGUGUUAUUACAGGAUGUCAAUACUUGGAGAACUAAUGUGACAAGCAGUAAUAUUCACCAACACCAAAUGAUACACUCACAAAGUUACUUUUGCUGUGUCUGUGCUCUUUCUCGGGUGCAGGUGCAAAUCCUGAGGGUAUUGGAGCUUGGCCCCAGGAUGAGGCGAGCUAGAAAAUCCAGGUGAUAUUUAUGGUUGAUACUGACAGACGAGCAGGCUGAAGUUUCACUGCCUGAGGUGUGAUAAGUUGAGAAGUAUGAAUUCUUGUACUGUCAUAGAAGUUCUUAUUUUGACGUAAAAGUUGGAAUCAAGACCCUACUGGUUCAUUAGUCUUGUAAGUCAUCAAUGGCAAAAAGAAAUCAUGGUUUUCCAGCUGCUGUGGUAAGCAGGGAAUUUCCUUUAUUUAAAGCAAAAUACAUGGUCUUAGGUGUGGUUUAGCUCUCUGUGAAUUCUACUAGAAAAAUGGGUCUACAGGGGGGGUGGGGGGGGAUGAAUGAUGAAGCUUUGCAACACACCUAGGCUAAAACCUGAACACAAAGCCCUUAUUUGUACCCGCAUUCGCAACCGGUGGUGUCCAUUUCUUGCAUCCUCCUGACCUAGCAAUCCAGCAUAGGCAAGCAAGGACAAUACAUCACCUUCCCUACAGCUGGAGCUGGCCAAGGGCAGAUUUGGAGACAAUGUUAGAAUUUGCGCUAAGAUGUACAUGGUUUGCAUCAUGCCUUUUUAUUCAGCCUUUUAAAUUAUCUUCAUAGCAACACAUCAUCAUAAUCUAUGCACCCACCCAUCAUGGUGUACUCAUACACUCACCCUUCGGUUUGGGGACUUUGGGUGCUAAAUCGCCCUCGAUUACUAUGCCUGUGUAUAAAUUUUUAAGAGCAAAAAAAUGAAAAAAAAACCUGGCAAAUGAAAAGAAUAAGACAAAUACUUCUAUUCACAACAAACUUGUCUUCUUUGUUUCAUUUCACACAUAUUUAAAUGUAAUACUUCUGAAAUUGUUCAUGAUGAUCUGCUGCCCAAACCAUAAAGUCAGGAAAUGAGUGCACUAUAAUGUGUGAAUGGCUGGGCGCACAUGCUUUCUGCUCAAUUCUAAUAGCAAGAAUAACAUUUUAGCAUUCUCUAGUCAUAAUACCAAACGGGCGCUCUUGAAAUACUCAAAAUCGCCUGACCAAAGAUGCAACUGACCCUUGACAUGUCACAGUUUAUGCUAUUAUAGGCAAACAUCCACAGCUAGUUGAUCUUAUUUACGAGAGAGAGAUCCAAACAUUGUGUGGGAGAGGUGUCGUUAGCAGCCAGAAAAUUGUGCUAACAGAGAAAAUAAGAACUACAACAUGAACUCAAGGCAACAUGAAGCAGGUGCACCUAGAAGCAGCCUGUAAGGAGAGCUGCAACUCAAGGCUCCACGCUGCGCUGGUGUGAAUCACCUGCUUCACGAGCAGCUCCGAUCACUUAGCUGGGACCUGGGUGUCUGAAAAUCAUCCUAGGUCAAAGCCUUGUAAGACACAUUAGGCCAAAACCUGAACCUGAACCCUUUUUCUUUUACUCAAGCCGCCAACUGGGGUUGUUCAUUUAUUGUACCCUCCUAACAUAAAAAAUCUGGUCAACAAGGAAACUACUCCUGUUGAAAACACAGAUUAGCAUUUGGGUUAAGAUGUACAUUAAUUGUUUGUAGGUUGUGGCAUUUCUAGACAUUGAUAAAUUCACAAGCAUUUUCUGCUCAAUUGAAUUAGCUUUUUUUCUUUUUUUUCGAAAAGGGGGGAAACCCCGGCCUCUGCAUCAAUCGAUGCACACAGCCAUUUUAUUACGAAGUUCAGUGUCACAGAAACACAGCUUAUGCGUCACUCAAGGUUGACACAAAAAUCAGCCACCGGAAUAAAAGAUACAAAAAAUGCCUAUGAAUUAGCUAAUUGAAACAAUAGUUGGGCACUUGGGCCCUACAAAUUGCCUGAGCAAAGCUGCAAUCGACCCUUCACAUAACACAGAUCACACCAUUAAUGGCAAACAUCCACAGCUAAUUGAUCUGAUUUACGAGAGACGAGUCCAAAUACCGCAUAAACGGAGUUAGCAGCUUCCUAAUGGCGCUAACUUUUACAGAUAACUUCACAUAUUGCGCGAGAUCGAUUAUUAACAGUUUAAUGCCCUGUUAAGGCCAAUCCAAACAGUAUAAAAUUUGUCUUCUGGUCAUGAUGAUACAUGGCGACAGCUGAAGACGCAAAAACAGCAGAAGUAACAAACCAACACGAGGUUAUGAAAACGAAAACAAGUGCAGGGAGCAGCAGGCCGUACCGACGCGGCGUCGACCCAGAGCUGCGACACGAACCCGAGGCUCCGCGCCGAGCUGACGCUGAUCACCUGCUUGGCCAGCAGCCCCGACCGCCUCGCCAUCUGCCUCCUUGUCCUCCUCCCGCUGCUACCACUCCUCUUGGCCUCCCUCUCGCCACUACCCUCACUGACAAUACCGUCCCCUCCACUACCUCCUCCAUCCUUCGGCUCCACAGCUACGACAGCCGCCGCCUCCUCCUCCUCCUCCAGCUCCCGCUUCAGCGCGAGGAAGUCGAAGCUGGACGACGGAGCGCCGUCCCGCGCGGCCGCGCGCGCGACGAGGGCGCGGCGUAGUGGCGUUGAUCCGUGCGCAGAGGUGGGGUUAGGCUUUGGGUUUAGGUUUGAAGGGGCCGGGGGCGCGGGUUUGAAAGGUGGAUGGGGGAGGGGGGCGCAGGAGCACAUUGUUGGCAAUAGCAGUAGCACGAUUGAAUGGUGAGGAAGUCGGAGAUGAUCGGAGGAGACGAUGGGUGAGGUUUGGGCCGAUGGGAAGCCCAUGGGAAAAAGUAGCGUGUACAGGAAUGAGAAAGCCCAUGGGAAAAAGUAGCGGAGAACACGGAAUGAAAAUGUGUCUGUCGCUUCAGAAAGAAAACGUGCAGGAAAAAUGGAAGGGUAUAAUUAGGGGCAUGUCCAAUACGAGUUACUAAGCAGUUACUGACGAGUACAUCCAUUUCACAGAUGCAACCGUGGCAUUAUAAGGAUCAAUUACUCGUGCGCGUGCGCGCCAACUCAAUAGUCAGAUACUUUCGUUUUUUCUAUGAACAAUCUAAAUGAGAAUAUGAUUAUGCCCAAAUCAGAUGCUCUUAUGUUGAUUAGAAAUUGUUGUUGUUCUUGACAACAAUUAGAGUAAGGGGUGUCAAUGCUCGAUGGCACAAGUGCGGGUAUAAAUAUAGAGCGUGUACACCGGCCUUAUAGCGAAAGUCGCCGUACACUCGGACAAGUUGACACGUCGAUAUUUUUUGAAUAGGUUCGGUCUACUCUGCAGGUGCGAUUUAAUCCUAUGUUAGGAAAAGCUUCGAGGGGGUUGUUAGCCGAGGGCUUGGGCCGAGCGGAUCUUCCCAAGACACCUUUUGACGAGAGGUUCGUCGGGGCCGCCUCGUACUUGGACCGAACGUGUCUUUCCAAGUAUCGAGGUUAGGAUACCCUCGGAACUCUAACCCAACCCCUUCUCUUUCGAGUCCGGGCCGAACACGUCUUCCCGGAUCUCGAAACUAGAGCUCUUUGCAAGAGGCUCUAACCCUCUUUCCUUGAGUUUAUUCAAAUUGAGAGUGAAUGAUACAUGCCCCCAUGGGGGGGUAUUUAUAGCCUAGGGGUCCAUGAUAAAUGACCAUGGCUACUCUUGAGGGAGAGAGAAAAGUGGAGGCAAACUGGUAAAAGUAGCUCCUUUGGUUCAUAACUUUUGUGUGCACCAUGUGAGGAAAGUAGGGCUUACCAUGGACCAAGGGCCCCAUCCUCUCACAUUUCUUGUCCCCCACUCUAACUCAUUUGACCCCUUGACUAUGGCAUGAGAGGUUUGACUCGUUGACUAGUCUUCCUCUGUCACGUAGGAUUGUCCGCGUCACGUAGGUGUCUUUGACUCGUGCUUGUGGAAUGUUGACUUGGUCGUCGUCACGUAGGAUUUACGGCCCGUCCCAUAUAAGGGUUUUAUUUUACUACAGAAAUGAAGAACCGAGCCGUGACACGAGCAAUGGGAGCAAGUCGAACUUCGAGGAUGACGGCACGCAUGCGAAAGAAAAAACGGUGCAGUAACUACCAGAAGAAUACGAGAAGCUGCAGCCACUUAAAGUCAUGCGAAGAGAAGAGAUGCUUGGGCUGCCACUUGCACUUCUAAUGGGCCCAAGGCCAUGUCACAGCCCAUCCCAUCUUAGGAUCUAAAAUUUUCCAUCUCCCCUCCUCUAUAUAAGUGCAUCCACCAUCCCUUUGGCUGGUUGGUUUUUGUUUAGAUAAGUUAGCCAUUGCUGCAACUUCGAAUUCCCACUAGUGUCGGCUAGACCUACUGGAGAACCGCUACGGAACCCACCUUGUUACUCGUCUCCUUGAGAUUGUUGUACUUCGUCUAUAUUUGCUAUUUCAGAUUGUCUUAUCUGGAUUCUUGCUUGUUCUCGAUUGCUAGCAGGGAUUGGAACUUCGUGUUCAGGCCGGUUGACGGCGCCUUCGGUUCCGUCAAUAAGCACAAGGAGUUGGUGUAGCGAUUGCUAAGGCGCACCGUCUAGUGGCCCGUAUAGUCGGGUCGUCAACGUCUACUUCUGCCCCAGACCGUAGUUAUCCUUCUCACUGAAGGAUCGGGCCACCCCCAGCAGCCAAGGAACGCGUCAGUUACUAGUCCUACGUAACGGAUAGAUGGAGAGAAAAAGUCAGUACUAGUUAGAGCAAGAUUAAUAGUUUAGCCUACCGCUGGCUGUAAGAUUUGCCAUGUUAUAUUUAAAUAAUAUAAUAACUAGCAUGUAUUAACAGCAUGUCUGCAAUUACAGUCUCACGGUGUGCCUAGAGGCACAUGUAGCCAGUUAACAUGAAUUUAAAUACUUCUCUUCUCUUUCCUUCAACUAAGCACCAAUAUAGUAUUUAAAUUCUUGUAGCCAACUAAUAGCCCACUAUUAUUCUUGCUCUUAUUUGCAGAAGUAACAGCUUGUGCACAGAUCCAAGAAUGAAAAGAGAAUGACAUGUGGGUCCAUUAGAAAAAAAGAAGAGAAUAAACAAAAGAAAGAGGAGAGAGAUGGAAAUUAGUAACGGCUUGCUAUUGAAGAUGCCCUUAUUCCUCAACUGAUUAUUGUAGUUAUUCGAUUACGAGUUUCUGUUUUUCGUGCUUGUAUGAAUCUUUCACGCAUCUCACUAGUUAAAUCAGAAGGUUAUUACCGUCUACUUAGAUUCAGUCGCCUUAGAAAUAGCAAAACUAUAGAAAAUAUGGAGAUGUUUUGUUUUACAACAAUUUUGUGAUUGGCAAAUAGUAUUUGCUUCCAUAACUUUGAAAGAGGUUUUUGAUGCCCAUGUUGCUCAAAGUAGGCAAUAAAUAAAUAAAUAAAUAAAUAAAUAAUAAGAGUUGAUAAUUGAGCAUUGGAAUAAAAAUAAAUUAGAGCUGGUAAUGGAGCAUUGGAAUUAAAAAAAAAAAGGGGCCUCACCCCUAAGCUGUAGCCGCUCCACUACAUAGUUACCGUAUUUUUAUAUGCAUAACUGAAUUGUCUGGGUAGAACUGGCGGACGCCAUAAAACAAGUAUCAACGGAAGAAGAAGAAAAACUACUACCAGCAAGCUGCAUAGGUUUGCCUUGCUUUGUUCGAUUAAGCGUUUGGUUUGAGUGAUUGGCUGUCUUAUGGCCAAAAAGGCAUUUUGAUGGAGUUCCACAAGCAAAGAAAAUGCAUUGAACGCCUGGGCGGCUCAAAAAUAUUAUCCGGUUGCCCUUUUUUAUUUUUAGUUUGCCUGAUAGCUAUAGGCCAUGUCGUUGUCCAUCUAAAUCAAAAGGAGUGUCGGAGAUAAGAAAAAGAACCCGUUCAAAAUGUGCAGCCCUAGAAAACGAGUGGUUUGCCCGGACGUAACGGCGACGGAUGCUUAUUAGCAGGGUCCCCCAGGUUCACACGUUCCCUAAGGUCACACGGCUCUGGUUUACUUUCUUCGUCUCCACGAACCAGCACCCCGUUUGCAAAGGAGGCUCCGAUUCGUUUCUAGCCUCAACUUGCUAAGCAAUGUUUUCGGCCAGCCUACAGGAAAUUGUCUUUUUUUUUUUACUUGGUUGGCUUCCAAACAAUUGGGUAUGCUAGUGCAUUUUGUAGCUACGACAUUCACAAGUUACUUGGCAUAUAUAAUGUAUUUUUAAGGCAACCUCUAUUUCACAACAAUCUCAGCAUAAAGAAACCAUUUAAUCCAAAAAAAGGUUGCUUUGUUGGCAGCCUAACUCUCGGUUAGUAGAUGAGGUAAGUAGAAAGAGAUGUUAGCUAUGCGAAGCUAAGGACAGAAAGUAGACAUAUGCAGAUGUUUUCUAAUCCCUUUGUUCCGAUGAACCAAGCAAACCCAAAUUUCAAAUUUGGGUGGAAGUGUGGAACCAUUUGAGAAGAUACCUUGUCCAAUAUCCAGAAAGCGGAAUCAGUGCUCACCUGUUAAGAUUUUUUUUGUUUGCAGGUCUCACCUGUUAAGAAAUUGACCACAACAUUUUUGUUCUGGUGAAAAUUAUGAAAUUGGAAGUGUUUCUAUAUAUCUCGCCCCUUCCCGUCUUAAUUGCUCUUUGUUUGCACCCUCUCACAAUAUAUUCCUGGAUACCGGGCAUUAAUAUCAUCGGUAUGAAUAUUAUGCACCUCAUUUUAGAACCUAUCUGCAUGUCAUCCUUAUCUAUUCGAUCGAUCAAUCUAUCUCCAUGUCAUCUUUAUCUAUCCGGUCAAUCAAUCGAGUAAUUGGUUCUCAAAACUUGCACGUAAUCGUUGCAUAUCCAAAUAUUAAUCCAUUGCCCCUGAUUUGAACACCAAAACUUCCAUGCAAACAUAAAACAUGUGGAGCAGCUAUUGACACAUUAUGCAUGAAAACAAUAUUCUUUGCGCAACUUUCACAACAUGCCUCCUCGUUCAUGGACUUAUCCACACGGCAGAGCUCAGUCUUUUGGCCGGAGCAAAACUGCAAAACCAAAGCCAAAAACUCGAAGUAACCUUGGCGCCAAACUAUUAAGAAGAAAAAACUUGCUUUUGUGCGUCCCCUCUUCCUGCCCAGUUCCUAUGACAGUGGGUCCCGCCUAGUCCAACUGGCGGGCCAUCUUGUCAUCGCAAGCAUAUUCGCCAGUAGCCAACAAGCAUCGCGCAGCCCACCGCGCGAUCCCGUUUCGGUGCCCACCAAUCCGACCGCGACACGCGUCCCAGCACGGUUACGGGAGCCCCGCGUCCCACGCGCCCAAGCUAUAAUAGGAGCUCCCUCGCCGCGCGGCCGCAGGGGAUCGCCGACCACUCGCCGCCGCUUCCAGCCGUCCCCCCUCACCCUCUGCAAAGGUUCGUCCGUCGUCGCGGUCUCCUCUCUCUCGCGCCCUCCUCUUCUGCUCCCCUCCAUCCUUUUCCCCUGCCCGGGCAGGUGGGUCUGCGCUGCCCGAGGCGUUCGUCCCCCUCGCGCACACGCCUCUUUUACGCAUAGUUUCGUCGAUUUUCCCGAGUGCAGUUAUCGUUCUGGAAUUGGUGACCGGACCGCUGCGCAUUGCGUGCUUUGCGGCCUCCAAUUGCGCACUUUGUGUUUUCUGCACGGCGCAGAUUUGUGCGUCUGUUAGAUCUGUACCGGAUUGCGUUCUUUGGAUCUAUGGUGCUCGAGGGGGAGGUGUCGAUUUGGGAUUUAGCUAAAGACUUGAGUUUUGAGUUUCCGCGGUAGUGUAUUUUGGCGCGUGUAAAUUGGGAAAUUUUGGUUUCAUAGGGUUAUAUUUUGGAUGUAAACUGAGAGGAUUCGUGGACAACUGGACACGCGUUACUGGAUGUAAAUUCGUGAGCUGUCCAGUGAGUUUGAUUAUUCCCUGUUCCCGUUUUUUUUUGCAUUCACCCCGUUCUUGGCAGAUUUGAAUGUCAAUUUUAGUUAAGCGUCAUGUUUGGAUAGGCACUAGAUCCGACUUUAGGAUGGACAUUUCUCCGAUAGGGGUUAAGUCGAGUUAGAGGCCUAUUUUUUGUUAUCGUGGCAGUUUUUGGGCUAAAUUUCGAAUACCGUUGAGGAAAUUUGGAUUUUCUUACGGCCAAAUGUCAAAUUUAGAACAAACGGCCAAAUGGCCAAUAGUAAAUUACUUUUAAGAAAACACGUUAGUCCUUGAUGAUUAAGGCAACAUGGUGCCCUCUGCAUUGAAUUAUACAUGGUUUCUUACUCGAAUAUCCCCCAAGUUCCCUCCACCUCCAGUACCUCACGUAUCAGCAUGGUUAAUCUUUUGUGAGCUCUCCAAUAUGUUUGUUCCCUGUUCCCUUUACUCUGGCAUGCAUCCUGAGAGAUAUUGAUGCCAUUUUAGGUAGAAGUUAUGUUGGGAUAGGCACGAUCCGACUAAGGGUGGACGUUUCUCUGACAAUGGAGUUCAAGUUUGAGAUCUGUUUGGUUCUCGCUGCAGUUUUGGGGCUAACUUUGGAACACUGUUGUUCCUCUCUUUGAAAAACCAUUUUUUAUGGUCAAUAGCAAAUUGCUCUCAAGAAUAUUUGAUUAAGGGUGCCAUACGGAUUGAAUUAUACACUACCCCAGUUAUCAGCAUGUUUAAUUAUUUGGUUAGGUUUAUGCUCUUCCAUCUAGAUUAUGAAGUGAUACUUAGUUGCGAUGUACUGGAACAUAGAAUUCCAGUGAAAACACUUGCCAGCUGGUGAUUGUUUUUCCCGCCUUUUACCUACUAUUGUAGAUUGUAUUAUGAUAGCUUACCCAGAAUCAUAAUGUUGCUUCUGCCAUCUUGUAACUUUCUACUCCACUCCACUCAUGGUUGUGCGUGCUGUACUGAAUUCCAUGACCACCUUCAUGCAUGGGCAGUUGGGCAGUAGUCAAUGUCCAUCCUAUCCUGACAUUCUUCUUUACUCUUGUUUUCUUUCCUUUUUAAUCUUCUUAGCACAAGCUUCCUUUCUUGUGAAGUUAACUAUAUUUUCGUUCUGCUUGCAGCCCAUAGACAAUUGAUCUCAUGUAUUCAGGAAGAACAGUGGCAUCCAGAGUUUCCUGUUCAUCGGGAAACAACGGAAGCUUCCCACCUUGCCUUCUCCCAGGAUUCCUUGGUUUCCCUGUUGUCUCCGUGAACUUCCACUUGUUCAAGGCCAUUGUUCGCAGCCCUGCAUCUUCCGUUGUCUUGGGUAUCUCUGGAGGGAACCUCCCUUAGAGAGAGCUGCCUCAUAAAGACUUUGUUGUAAUUUGAGAAUCGAGAGUCACUCAGCUACCGGUCGCUGAAAUUCUUCCGUGGCAUCAAGACCCUAAACUGCUGAAUCUCGGGCGCUUGAAGAUGGUUUCCUCUGAGAUAAAUUCUGUUACAACAACUCAUGCACAGGGGCCCAAGCUCUUCACAGGGACCAUAAUUCUGCCAAAAGGGCCUCCAGAUGUUGUAGUUCCUGAAAAUAUUGAGUUUGAUUUUAAUGAUGUUUUUGGUGCCACGGCAGUCCAGACACCCACAGAAGUAAGCAUUCUCACUCCAGAGAGCCCUGCACCUUUCGCUGAGUCCAGUGAUGAGGUAUACAAUGAUCCUGUAGUCAUUACCAAGCGAUCUCAUUCUCUUGUUGGUCCAACCUCACUUGUUAGCCAGUCCUUGCCACUUAGUAAGCUUACACUGCAUGAGACGGAUAGCACGCCAGAUCUUUUAGAGUGUCUUUCUAAAGAAAAGGAAAGUAAUCAGGAUCAACUUAGUGAUGAAGAGCUAACCAAUCCAAAAAAGGAGAACGAGGUUGUUGGACUCGAUGACUUUGAAGUCUUGAAGCUUGUGGGCCAAGGGGCAUUUGGCAAAGUCUAUCAGGUGAGAAAGAAAGGUACUUCUGAAAUAUAUGCAAUGAAAGUCAUGAGGAAGGACAAGAUUUUGGAGAAGAACCAUGCUGAGUACAUGAAAGCCGAGAGAGAUAUACUGACAAAAGUUGAUCAUCCUUUUGUGGUGCAGCUGAGAUGCUCCUUUCAGGUAGGGCAUUGCCAUUUCUCUGGAUUUUCUGUAUAUAUAUUUCUCUAUUACUAGAGCUAUGCUCUGGAAAUACUAAAACCAAUACUUGAAUGCAGACAAAGUACCGACUUUACCUUGUCCUGGACUUUGUGAAUGGGGGCCAUCUCUUCUUCCAGCUUUACCAACAGGGCUUGUUUAGGUAAUUUAAUAUCAUGAUUUAUCAUUACACCUAUUGAGUUGUAUCCUUUAACUGAGCUACUACUUAUCUGGUAGGGAGGAACUUGCGCGCAUCUAUACUGCUGAAAUCGUAUCUGCUGUAUCCCACCUUCAUGCCAAUGGGAUUAUGCAUAGAGAUCUGAAGCCUGAGAACAUCUUAUUGGAUGAUCAUGGUCAUGUAAGUUUCCGUUUAUAUAUCUCCACGUGUCACUUCUUGCUGUCGUCAUCUUACGAUUGCCAGUGGCAAAUUUUCCUGACAUUUGUUUGUAGGCCAUGCUGACCGAUUUUGGUCUGGCAAAGGAAUUUGAUGAAAACACUAGAUCAAACUCAAUGUGUGGCACUGUGGAGUAUAUGGCUCCAGAAAUUGUUCAGGGCCGAGGUCAUGAUAAGGCUGCAGACUGGUGGAGCGUGGGGAUCCUUCUUUUUGAGAUGCUUACGGGCAAGGUGAGUUGUUUGAGAUGGAUCCUUCUGUUUUGAAACAUUUGUAUUGCAGAUGAGUAUGUACUUGAUAUUUGUGUAUUUUUGUACUUAUUCUUUUCCAAUAUGUUGCAGCCCCCAUUUUUUGGUGGAAACAGGGACAAAAUUCAGCAGAAGAUCGUGAAGGAGAAGAUGAAACUUCCGGCUUAUUUGUCUAGUGAAGUCCAUUCUCUGUUGAAAGGCGUAAGUUUGCUAUGUUCACGUUUCUGCUCAUGUAUUUUGUGCAAUUUGUCUUUUGCUUGUUGACCAACCAGUUUGGUAAGAUAAAGAAUACCCUAGCCUGAAAGCUGGUAAGAUAAAGAAUACCCUAGUCUGGUAAAAAAAUUCGGACAUUUCUGGUAAAAAAAAUUCGGGCAUGUAUACUUGUAGUGAAGCCUGGCCCUAAUCAUGACUGCUCCCUUGCUAGUUGGGUUGAAACCUGUAUGCCUUGGUGCUAAUUUCACCUAGCUUCAUGUUUUAUUUUGAAAGGCCAAAAUCUAUCUGAACACCCUGAUUUUUUUUUUUCAGCUACUGCACAAGGAAGCUGGCAGGCGACUUGGAAGUGGACCAGGCGGCAGUGACGAAAUAAAGAACCACAAGUGGUUCAAGUCAGUAAACUGGAAGAGACUCGAGGCUCGACAGAUCCAGCCAAGCUUCUGCCCUAAUGUUGCUGGUCAGACCUGCAUCGCAAACUUCGACGAGUGCUGGACGAGUAUGCCCGUGCAGGACUCUCCGGUGGCCAGCCCCGUCGCUGCAGACAGUAACUUCCUGGGGUUCAGUUACGUGCGGCCCGCGCCAUUCCUUCAAAGGCCGAGUCCUCUAGGCUGAAGGACUACUCUAUGCAGUAAUGAAUAAACUAUGAAAUCUCAGUAUCUUUUCCUUGCUCAAGACAGUAAAAUGAAUCUGUUUGCUUGUUAGGAGGCUCAUUUGUCUAUCGCCUGAGACUGACAAUUUAUCUCUUGUUAGUCUACAGAGGUCCAUCUUCAUUAAGAUAAUGUAUCUCUUGUUAGGAGUAAAGAAAGGGCUCAACAGUCAAUAACGCUCAGGUAAAGAAGAGAACACACGCUGCAUCAAAUUGUUUCUUCCCAAAACGGGCCUUCAGUCGUUGACAAUGCGAGGCCAACAAAUGAGCUCAUCGUGUUGUUCACAGCCCUGUUAGCUCGUCUUGAGUCGUCCGCCUGAAUAUGCUAGCGCGUCCCGGUGUUGUGUAUAGCACCAGGAAUUCUGGGAUGCUCAUGCCAAGCAAGGAGCAAGAGACGAUUAUUUAUUUUUGCGGGAGAAAAGGAGCACGAGACGGUAUAGUCUGGGAGGGCCGGGUAGAGUUAACACUGCCCAGCCAUCGAUCGCUGCCAAAAAACGCAAUGCGCCGCCGGGCACCCGCUUGUCUGUCCGUCGAUCCGUUACCAACUUACCAUGCUGUUACCAGUGACCAUGUAAUAACAGGGAGGAAGGAACAAGCUAGGGAGACGCUGAUACGCAAAAGUAGACAGAGAUCGAUCAACGAUCCCAGGUUACUCGCUACAAAGAGUAUUUCUAGCCAAUGUGGAUCAGCCGAUUCAUAAGUGGUAUUAGUUCAAAACAAACAAUUCAUAGACUCCUCGAGGGCUCAAAAUCCGGAUCGGGGGGACACGCAACGCCAACAACGCACAGCAGGAGCGACUUGAGUUCAGCGGCCGCGGCUGAGCGACUUCUCGACGGCGUCCAUCUCCUCGAGGAUGCGCGUGCGGCGCUUGUUGGGGAUGGGCGCCGUGGGGCCGAAGCUGAUGUAGUGCCCGGACACGGCGUUGAGCGCCGAGUACAUGUCCCGGAACGACUGCCGCCCCAGCAGCGACUUCUCGCGCCGGUACUUGGCCACCCACGAGUUGGACAGCUCCCGGAGCUCCGUCACGGCGUCCGCCACCUUGGGGUCCGCCUUGUCCAUGCUGAUCGUCGAGCGCACCUUCCCGAUCACCUCCUUGGUCUCGCUCGUGUACUCGUCGUCCGAUGCCGCGCGCGCCUGCGGCGGCACCGGCGCCCCGCACAGCAGCAGCGCCGCUCCGAGGCCGCUGCCGGCGAGGACGUCGCGCCUGCUCGCUGCUGCUUGCGCCGUGAUGCUGUUGUUGGAGCGAGGCGCGGGGAGGGGCUUCGCCACGGACGCCGCUGAAGGGGCGGCGAGCAUGGCAGGGACGGGAGACGAUGCCGGCCUCAUGUCGUAUUGUCGUGCGUGAGCUUGGUCUGAGAGGAGGGAUGACGCCGUUUGAUAGCUUUGGGCCAAAGAGGGAGCAAGCCAGGAAGGAGGGCUGGGAAGAGGCGACACGUCGGCUUAUCCUCUUAUCUCGACUUGUUUUCUUGUAAGGCUGUCUAUGGGUUCACAGGAUUUUGUUUUGUUGAUAGGGCUGCGUGGUAGGAGUAUUCGGCAACAACACGUUUUUGGCCAUCCUAACUUCCAAAUGUCGACCUGGCCUCAAAAGAAAAAAUGUCGACCGCAUCCCCCUCAUACAAACAAAUGGUAAUUCUGUGUAUGAAAUGAACGACACUGUUUUCCAUGAACACGGAAAAAAUGAGACAACAGGCCGCAAACUUAGAUCCUCUCAGAUAAAAGUGAAUUUCACAGCAGCAUUCAGGGUACAGGAAAUAAUCAAAUCCACAAAAGGGGAUAGACACAGUGAAAACUGGACAAUAAUUAUAGUAAAUCGGCAAAUUAGUUUACGAUCAAGGAAUAUCCAAGCACUAGCCAACUUAAGCUCCAGCCUUCCGACGGCCAACUUGGGCAACAAAUCCAGUCUUGAUAGGAGCGACUGACCUUGACGAUCCACACUGAUAAAGGUAAAUUUUUUAAUCAGUACAGGAUUAUACAAGGGCGUAACAUGAAAAAGAUUAAGGCAAGAUUCAAACAAAGGGCAAAGUUUAAUCCUCAGAAGUUGCAGGUUUCUCAUAAGCUAGGUCAAACAAUGUAGGCAAUACAGUUUUGCAGCUCAUCAUAGGUAUAAUGGCCAGGAACCACCAGUGGUGAAAUGUACUCGGAAGUAACACCCAUUCAGGAUCACACAAUAAUCGCGAAAACAAAGGACCUAUGUACUGUUAAGCCUCAGAUGUCGCAGUUAAUAUCACGAAGAUAUUUGUCAAACAAUGCAGGCAAUUACUCCGCAACUCAUCAUCAGAACAAGAAUUUCACAAGGGCAAUAAAUCUUAACUCUACGGCAAGAAAAUAAAAUAUUGCGGCAGAUUCAAAUAAAUGACAAUAUUUUAUCCUAAGACGUCUCAGAAGUUUAUCAUAAGAUUGGUCAGACAAUGAAGGCAAUAAAACUGCAACUUAUCAUAGGUACAAAGCACAGGAACCACCAAUAUUGGAUUAUAAACACAAAUAAGACCAUUUUUAGCCAGAAAUGGCACAGAACAGAAGGCCGAUGAUAAUGCAUAUGCCUCAAAUGUUGCAAUUGUUAUCACAAAGAUAUUAUCAAACAAUGCAGGCAAACUCUAGAACUCAUCAUGAGAACAACUCCAGAAGUGAGAAACUGAUAUAACAAUUCUGAAAUCUAUGGCAAGAAAAAAAAAUAUUGCAGCAGAUUCAAGUAAAUGACAAUAUUUUAUCCUCAGACGUUGCAGAAGUUUUAUCAUAAGAUUGGUCAAACAAUGUAGGCAAUAAAAUUGCAACUCAUCAUCGGUACAAAACAGCACAAAAACAGACACCAACGAUAAUGCAUAAGCCUGAGAUUUGCAAUUGUUAUCAUAAAGAUAUUAUCAAACAAUGUAGGCAAUAACUCAGCAAAUAAUCAGAUCAACUUCAGAAGUGAGAAACUAAUACUCUGUAUAACAAUUCUAAAAUCUAUGGCAAGAAAAUAAAUGUUGCGGCAGAUUCAAAUUGAAAAUAUUUCAUCCUCAGACGUUGCGGAAAUUUUAUCAUAAGAUUGGUCAAACAAUGUAGGCAAUACAAUUGCAACUCAUCAUCGGUACAAAACAUAGAAACCACUAGUAACAGAAUCAAAUGUAAAGAUAAAUAAGACCAUUUUUUAGACACAAGCAGCACAGAAAUAGAUAAUGCAUAAGCCUCAGAUUUUGCAGUUGUUAUCACAAAGAUAUUAUCAAACAAUGUAGGCAAUAACUCUGCAACUCAUCAUCAGAACAACUCCAGAAGUGAGAAACUAAUAUAAUAAAUCUGAAACCUACGGCAAGCAAAUACUUAUUGCAGCGAUUCUCAUAAAUGGCAACGUUCCAUCCUCAGAAGUUGAAAGAAGUUUCUCAUAACAGUGUUCAAGCAAUGUACUACCUUACCCUAAAAAAAGAAGGUAUAUUAGGUCUCCUUUGACCAAGCCUUUGACUAAGAUUUCCUAUUAAUAUGUGUCUUAUGUGAUGCAAAUCAUAACCAUAAACAAGUACUUCUGAAUACGAUUACUAUGAUAUCAAUUCACAUAAACUGUACUCCCUCCAUCCCAUAUUAAAUGCUGUAAUAUUACAUGUAUCUAGACGUAUUUUAUUAUAUAGAUACGUCCAUAUUUAGACAAAUUUGAGUCACUUAAUAUGGGACGGAGGGAGUAUAUUAAUUAAGUAAAUCUUAGUCAAAGCCCUGGUCAAAGACCUAAUAUGCCUUCUAUAUUAAGACAGAGGUAGUAGGCACUAUUGUUCACAAAUCACAACUCAUCAUAGGAUGAAAGCCCAGGAACCACUAGUAAUGGAAUGUAGACAAAAAUAAUGCCAUUUCUAGCUAUAAAAACAAUAAAUGUUAAAUGGGUGGCCUCUGGAACCGCUAAAGUCUCAGAUAUUGAAAUUGUAAUCACAAUAUAUUAUCAAACAAUGCAUACAACUCAUCAACACAACUCUAUCGUACAAAACUAAUAUAUUAUUAUAAUCCUCAUUUAUAUAAAAUUAAAUUGCGGCAGAUCCAAAUAAAUGGGAAUGUUCCAUCCUCAGACGUUGCAGAAGUUUCUCAUAAGAUUGGUCAAACAAUGUAGGCAAAAAAGUUUGCAACUCAUCAUAGGUAGAAACUCCAAAAGUGCAAAACUAUUAUACUAUUACAAUCCUCAUAUAUAUACUCCCUCCGUCCCAAAAUAAGUGCCACGCCAUUUAUUUAGGGACGGAGAGAGUUGAAGAAAACUAAAUUGUAGUGCAUCCAAAUAAAUGGCAAUUUUCCAUCCUCACAUGUUGCAGAAGUUUCACAGAAGACAAUGUAGGUAAGUUUGCCACUCAUCAUAGGUACAAGACCAGGAACCACUAGUAACAGAAUAUAAAUGUAAGAAACACCAAAUUUUGCUACAAAGAAUGAUUGAGAACACAAAGGACAUAUAGUAGUGCUUUUAAGCCUCAGAAGUUGCAAUAUUAUCACAAAAAUAUUUGUCAAACAAUGUAGGCAAUACUCAGCAACUCAUCAUGGACUGUCAAAAGCAAGCCAACAGAAAGUGGAAAAAAAUGUAGAGGUGCAUUUGAGGCAAAAGAAUCAUCAAUUGCCAAGAAACAUUUCCUUCAUGCGAAACUAGAAAUAAUUGGUAUACUAAUCCAUAAGCAGCAAUUUACCUGUUCACAGCGAAGGAAGAACAACCGAUUCUCCUUAGAUAGGAUGGUAUCUGGGCUCUUACAUCCAUUACAUAUGACGUAUUCAUCUGGAGCAAGUGAAAUUGCCACAACGAAGAGAAUCAGUGAGUUUUGCGAAUAAAAAACAGCAUGGAAAUUAGAAUAUAGAAAAACUUUGAUGGAGGUUCAGCACAUGAUUUCACAGAAAACCAGAAGCCAGAAGGUGGUCACAUUUUCUUUACUAAAAAGUAUGUAUAUGGGAUAACAGGGGAAUAUAGAGGGUCAUAGAUUUAAUAAUUAAGUGAUGCCUCAAUCCUUGUCCAUAACUACAGAAGACCCAUACUUAGCUACAUAAACACAAGAUUUUCUACUUUAUGAUAUUUUGUCCAUAACAGAAACAGGUUAUGAUUUCUUCGUAACACAGAUGCAGCACGCGGUUUGAGUUCAUUACUACGAUUAUUGCCUAGAAAGACAAGAUAUGCACUCCAAUGAAAAAAGCAGACACCAGAGUUAUGAAAUAAUCAGGAAACUUACUGAUAUAUCUCCUUAGUAUUGCUUCAAAGUUUUUCGGAGCAAAUCUUCCUUUGAUAACCAACCUUUGUUGCCCAUCAAGCGAUCCACUUGUUCCCAUCUCAGCAAGUAAAAAUGUCAUCACGUGUUCAGGUUGCCUGUGCAUUCUGGAAAGAGGAAAUACCAUUCACAAUCAGCCCGUGAUCAAAUUAUUCAACAGAAAAUAAACUACAAAGGGGCAAAAUGAAGUGCGGCGAAAACAAAGGGAAUCGUACGUUUUGCACAAGUCCAUGAAAUUCACAAAAACUGUCUUUUUUGUGCCUUCCCUAAGAACUUGAGGGGGCCGCAUGACAGUUCUUCGUCUAUCACCAGCAAGAUCUGGAUUAUUCUCACGCAGGAUAUUGAAGACUCUGCCAAGCAACUAAAACCAAACAGAACGACGAUAAGGUUUCAUGAACAAAAACAUAUUUGAGUACAAGUAAAACUUGAGCACCAUAUGUUAGUUCUGAACUGGCAGCAUGUACAGAAUAAACAACAAAGAAAGCAGCUAAAUGAAGAAACAAACGGAAAAUAACACAAAAAUGCUCUUCAAUAUUAACUGAGCUAAGCUCACUAAAUAUGACUUAUGGAGAUAAGCAACUGCAGGUGAUCACAGAAGAAGGUGCCACUUAAAUAGCAAUAUAGUAUAUCUUAUAUUUAUCUUUGGACUUGUGAUCCAUCAUAAUACAUGAAGUACCAAGUACCUCUUCAUAGGUGUAAUCUCUGUCAGUUCCUUCCCAUGGAUAUUGGGUUGCACCACCAAGCACAAUCCCUUCUCCUUGUUCGUCUUCUCCAAUUUGAUCAUCUGGACAAUACAUGAUCAGAUAUAGCAGCAGAUGCAACAAGGGGAAAAUGAAGUUACUAAGCAACUCAAUUAUUUACCAAGAGUGUCUUCACCAUCUCCAGCCUCAAUAAGAGAUGGAUCAAGUUCCACCUGAAAUUAUCACAUUAGUAAAUUGAAGCCAAUUACAAAAGGCCACCGUUACUCUAACAACAAUUGCAACCAAGUGCUGAUAGCCUAAGGCUCUGUUGACAUCUCAUUUGGUUGGGCCCUCCUUAUAAUCUUUGGCUGUCUCAUAUUUUUCCUUGACACAAACAAAUAUAUUACUGUGGUACAAAACUUAUGAGAUGCAUGUGAUAGAACGAUCAUGGAAUAACAGUCUAUCUAACUUUAACUUGAUUUAUAAAAUCAAAUACAAUAACAGACAUUUGGCAACUUCUUUUGAGAGCUCUAAAAAUAAGCAAGACACAACACAGUAAGAGAACUCACAUGUUUCUUCUUCUUCUUUUUUAAUCCUGUAAAGCUUGGCUCACCAGACUCUGUGACUGAAGAACAGAGCAUAGAAAUAUCAGCAAAAAUGGCCAUCGGAUGAGUAAUUUUUUUUUCAGCAUAUUGGACAGACCUGCCAAGCUCUCAGUUUUCUCAGCCAACUUAUCAACCUCGUCAGAUGGAUCUUGAAUCACAACCUUCUUCUUCUUCUUUUUCUUAGUUGGAUCAAAGGGUGUUAUCUGCAAAACAAUACAAACACUAUCAACAAGCACGGACUCGAAAACAUAAGAAAAGGAAGCACGACAACACAGAUCUAUGAAACAAAAUCAAGGCACAUCUUCCCAAUCCGUAAGCACUCUGACUCUGAUUAAGAAAAAAGAACAUCUCUAAGCACCCACUUAAACACUUGUGUUGUACAAGCUCUAAUGUGAAUCAUGCUUCCGCACGCACCCUACACGGCUUUAAACCUCAUAACUUUCUCGUGCAUGAAACGAAUCAGAAUACUAAAAAAUUAUACUGUGGUUUUAAAAUCCCUGCCGAGCAUAACGAAACAGCGCAAAUGUUAGAACUGGCUACACAUCAACCGUACUUAGCAGCUUAAUCCGCUCUUCCCGAUAUGAGAAGUUCAACCGAAGCACACCAAUCGACGGCAAAUAGCUCCCAUCGUCUCGGAUUCAUGACCGAACCACGCAGGAAGCUCUACCCGUCCCAUCAUUUGGGCAAUCUAUUCAACGCCCAAAUCAAAUACGGAGUACAAAUCCGUCGAAACAGAUGCCGGAGCAAAAGGGAUAGGAGAACGCUUCACCUCCGUUUGCUCCUCUUUCUUCUCCAUCUGCUCUUCGUCCGCCAUGGUGACGGUGGUCUUCUUCACCCCUUCUCUCCUGGCGGCGUGGCGACUGGAAACCUAGACGGCCGUAGACAAGCCGGAUCAGAUCGAGUCACGUGGGGGCUAUGGAUUUUUCGGCGAAAGGGUUUCGAACUCUUACAGCGACAGCGAGAGGCGACGGCGGCGGCGGGGCUCCGGGUAGGGUUUCAGUAGCUUUUCUCCCUUUCUCUCUCUCUCACUUCUGCCUGCCUUAUCUCAGAGGAGAGACGAUGGGCCGUAUUUGUAGCUUUUUUCUUCUCUUUUUGAGAGAGGAGGAUUGUAGCUUCUCAGUUUGCUGGCAACGGAAGCCUAGAGGCGCGGCCUUUUGGGCCUUUUGGGCCUUGUAAUACGGAAGCCUAGAUCCGCCGCCCGGAUAGCAAUGGAGAAAAAUUAGGGUUUGAUCUAAAGUACACCGUUUUCGUUCGGGUUCGGUUCCUCCUAGAUGUAUCCAGUAACAAUUAUGAGUUCUGUGGUCUUUAAUGGCAAUGUUACGACGAAGGGUGUGAUGCCGUCAAGAAUAAAGUUAUUCUGGUUCUUCCUGUACUGCGACGGUGUCUUAUCAAACAGUGUCACGGGUUCAGAGAGUUUUAUUCACCGCAGAUUCGAUGUGUCCGAUCUUGUGGAUUUACAGUUUGUGUCCUCGCAAAUCCGUUCAUCUGGAUUUGUUGAGUUUUUGCUAGUGUGUCAUGAUGCUUUUGUUGGUUUGAUCUUCUGUGACUUUGGAAUCCUUCUUUGAGGUUCCGGUGAAGAUCAUGUGGUUCGACGGCCUGCACUUUAGGAAAUCAUCCCCGAUCCAAGUACGUUCAACGCUCACGACUUCUCAUCUUUGUAGAUUGGCGACUCAAGAGGCUUCUAAAAAUCUUUGAAGGUAGUAAAGUUCGUGUAGGGUUACGAGCGGCGAUGUUGCUGUUCCAGUCUAAUCGCAGUCUUUUUGCUGAAGCCCAGACAGUACUUCGUGUUGCAAAGAUUGGUACCGUGGAAAAUAUGCUUUCGAACGAUUUCAUUGUAAUUCUUAGCUUCAGGGAUUACUUUGUAAUUUCUCGUGUCUACGAUCCAAAGCACUUCACUUGUAAUGAUUUUCUAGAUUGAAUAAAGAUGCAAGUGAUUGUGAUUUUCUAGAUUGGAUAAAGAUGCAAGUGAUUGUAAAAAAGAAAACCAUAACCCCCUCUCAAAAAAAUAACACCCAUGAUUCUCAAAAAACAAAAAAAAAAAACCCAUAACCCACUACAAAUCGAGAACUACCGGGCCAAAAUCUCUAUUUAGUGUAAACUUUUAAGACUUCGAAACCUAACCAUUAAACCCUAAAUAAAUGGAUCAGAUAAAAAAGUGGAACAUCUAACCACUUAACAAUGAAAAAAUCGUUUUGUUUGCUGAGUUGUAAAUGAUGCGUGCCUCUUGAAACAAAAUUGCACCCACUAAAAAUCCUACCCAAAAAGGUGAGAGAAGAACCCAAGUUCAAAAUAUAGUUACUGGCAUUCCAGGUUCCCAGACGGCGGACGUGGUUCGAUCAUGAACUUCUGCCCGAACUUCCCGGUGCUCUCGGUUAGGGCAUCUGGAAUAUGCGGAACUUCCGAUGAUUGUUUGUUUCCGGCUGAACCCCAGAAGUUCCGGCCUGUCCCGUGUCUGUGCCUAACGGCUCGAUUUUUGGGGACCCCAUUUAUAUACCCCUUCGUCCCCAACGAGUCCCUGGCCCGAGCAAAACAACACCAUUUCUUUCCCCAAGAACACAAUUAGUUUCAAUCUCCAAGUUCUCCCUCCCUAGCCACUCCCAACUCUUGAUUCGUUGAGGAUUAGAGGAGAAGAUCUUGAUCUGGUGUUUCACCAAGUCAAAACGUUGAUUCUCCUUUGUUUCAUUUGUGGAUUUCGUUUCUCUUGUGUAUUUGGGAACCCUAGACGGAAUCGGUUUCGUUGAGCUCUCCCUUGGUGUGAGGAGCUUGGGGAUUGGAUUGAGAUCCUCUAGUUAAGUUGUGGAGCUAGCCCCGGUCAAAGUUGUAGGUGUUUGGACUUCGCCCCCAAGGAAGCCCCUAGUGGAGCUCACCUGACCUUUGUGGUGUUGUGAGAGGAGAAUAGAGUGACUCUUUGUGACGCCUCUACCUUUGAGGUAGAGCACGCCUCCAAGCGGAGAAGUACACCUACCCCAAUCGUUGGAACUCCGAUGAAAUCUUCGUCUUUUGUGUGGUAUCUAUUUUCACCCUUUACAUUCUUGUAAUAUUAAUUGUGAUAUUGUUGCUUCGGCUAUUGCACUUUAUACUAGGGUUGCAUUCACUUUAGAGAAUUUAGUAAACCCUAAGAUUAAGUGUUUGUAUCUUUCAACAAAAGAAAAAUAAAAAGUAAAAUUUGUUAGUCGACUAUUCACCCCCCUUCUAAACGAUCAUACCGAUCUUUCACCUCCAUCCUUGAACACUUUGCUUUCAACAAUAUUAAGUUUUUAAUCUUCUAUAUCUAAGUAGAAGCAACCCACUACUUGAUUUUUCUAAACACGCAAGCAUGUCACAUCAUCACAUAAUUAAUCUGUUCACACCUAUUUAGUGGAAACUCAUACUUUUGCACAUGCAUGCAUGCUGCUUCCAUCAAGCUAUCCAAGUGAAGAAUGUAAGAUUUUAUUAUGUGUUUUCAGUUUUGAAUACUCUUUAUGUUAACUAAAAAUUUCCGCAAUAACGUGCGGGCAUCAUCUAGUUUUCAAGAAGUGGGCAACUCUUCAAAAGUUAUAAGAGCAUGUCCAGCAAUAGCCCCUCAAUUGAGUCCCUAAAAAUGCAAAUAGGGGCCAGCCUCAAUAAGUAGGGUCCCCAAAACUAGUGUAUGCUCCAUCAAUAGCCCCCAAAUCACAGCCCCCAUUUCCCUGAUAUCUCAUAUUUCAACCCAAAUUCGUACAAUUUGAACCCAAAUUCAACCAAUUUCAACAUCUAUUUAUUCAAUUUCAACAUACAUAGUUGACGAGAAGGAGGUGUCCAAAAGGAGGAGGCGGUGGCCGGCGGCGACCAGGAGGAGGAGGAGGCCGACGCCUCCUUCCUUGCGCACGGGCAGGAGAAGGAGGAGGAGGCCGACGCCUCCUUCCUCGCACGCGGCCUGGAGGGCGAGGGGGCCGAGGCAGGUGGGAGGCGUGCGGCGGGUGGGAGGCAGUCUCUCCUGAGAUUUAAUAUUUCUGCUUAUGCCCCUUCUCUUUUCAUGCUAUAACUUGUAUACUUUUAUACUUUGCCUCCUCCCCUGAUAAUUGUAUUUACCGUUUUAGCCCUCUUUAUGCUUUUCUCCUGCCUCCGCCCUCGGGAGAGAGCGACUGUGAGAGAGAAAGAUAUAAGAGAGAGAGAGGGAGAGAGAGAGAGAGAGGAGAAGAGACUGGUCCCGCACAUCGGAUCGACCACACUGUCCGGUACUUCACUAGAAAGUGAUUCCACAAGGUUUAGUAUAUAGUACAAAUGAUAGACAAAACCGAAUUAAAAAAUGACAAGAAAGAUCCCUAAUAAAACAAAAAUGGUACAUCAAGAUUCUUCGAAGUAAAAAUUGCUAGAUCCGUUAUCCGUAUCUUGAUAGCUUUACAUGUUUCUGGUGAUGAAACUACAGAAGACCAAAGGUGUACAAUUGCACAAGCUGAAAUAACCUGAUAGGUUUUGAAUAGCCACAUGAGUCGCUCACCCCAAAUGAUGAGAACUUAAGAUUGUUGAACGUACUCUGGCCGAGGACACACAAGCUUGCAAGAUAUGUUGUGGAACCGCUGAUUCGUUGUCGAACCAACAAGGAAAAGGACCAAAAUAACGAAAGUACAAACCGCGAGAUCCACAAGUUCCAUGGUGUUGACCAUGUUGACUACGCCGGGACAGUGUUGAAGCCGGGAGACCAUUAUUCCAUACGUCGUCGUCUCCACGGCCAGGAUGCCGCCACAAGGACACCAAACCUCACGAAAAAGGUGACAUUCUAUUUGCCAGAUAUUGAUCUGUAGUUCCUCUUGUCUCGCGAUGCCAAAUUGGCUGUCAAAGACAAGGAAAACGGGCGGAGAAUCAGAACUUUUUGCACAAUUUAGAGAGAGAGAGAGAGAGAAGAGAUUGGACCUGUGUAUCGAAUCGACGACCCUCUAGAUCUUAUUUGGUCUUUACUUGUGAACGAUGUAACUAUUAUUCGCAAUCAAUAGAGCAGAAUGAUGGGGUUUAAAAAAAUAAAAAGAAAAAGGGGCGAGAGGUUUCCUUUUCCUACCUCUACCAUGCUCUUUGUUUUUUUUUCUAGGAUAACGAUGUGAUGACUUUCAGAGUUCAGGUUUUGGCCCCACCUACUCACUUGCAAAUUGAUCCUUGGACAACUGCGUGUAAAUAAUGGACACUUGAAAGGUGAAACGGUCGGACAGUUCAGGAAUUCAGGACCCAGGCAAUACCCUUCCCUUUCUCCAUGCGAACAGGACUGAUUCCUUGCAAGAAAGAUGAGGUCUGAUGUCUGCUGGAUAGCACGUACUACAGCAAGAUUCCAAAUGCAACAACAACGAAAAAAAAAACUUUUAUAAACAACUGUUCGUAAUCACCGGCCUCGUGGUUCGUGACACAACUUGCGAUGAUAGCUCGCUCUAGCU
rnacentral:lncRNA from 1 species